UAGUACUUGCUCUUAGGGUAACCAUAGAGUUACUAGUCUAAGUUACUUUCCACUAUGACUAGCCUAGUCUACUAUAAGUAGUACAACAAAAAAACAAUGCAGGUGAUCACGUGAGAAAAAAUACUAAAAACAUUUCUUUCGGUGCAGUGCGUAGAUGCAGUUUUGAACACUACACUUGUCAUCAUAAUUUGGGAAAAUUACGAAAAAAUUGAGCUACGUUGUGAUUAUUGUUUACUAAUAGGAAAGAAGUUUCACCUCGAUGAGUAGCUUCUCCGUGCACGGAAAGCAUGUAAGGAAUCCAACAACUUGAUCCAUAUUGGGGCCGAUAGAUUUUAUUGCCAAGAUCUUCACUGUGCGCAUAGACUGGGUCAAGCUUGUGGGAAUCAUUUUCUGGAAGACGAUCGUAACUACAUCAAGAAGAAAUUUAAAAAUGUGAAUUUCAAGAAGACGGAGAAGAAGAUGAGUGUUGUACCUGAACGGUUACGGAUCCAAUAAAGAGUUGGGAGAAUUUGGCAAACGAGUACACCAACGCUGUCAAUUUUGGUGCGUCAAUGACCCUGAUUUUUGUUGGACCUUUUAGAUCCGAUAUAAGCAAUCUCUCAAGGAAAGGCGCAUUCUCAAUGACCAUAACGUGGAACAGCUGGAGUGAUCUCUUCCCAAUUGAAGUCUUGUUGCAGGGCCAGCAAGACAGAUAAGUCCAUCGAAGAUUUGUCAAGGCGAUGUGGAGGCUAAUGAACCCAUGGAUCUGCUCAAGACGAAGGUACUCGAGCGCAGUACAGCUGCGGAGCAGGUGCUCCAUAGCGUUCUUCGAGAUGACAACGUCGAAGAGGUCGAGAUGCUUGAGUUGAGGGAGAAGAAGGGCGAGCGCGGCAUUAAUCUGGGGAAGAUAGCAGGAGCUGAAGCUGGUGCGGCACAGCGUUGGCGUGAGGCAGAGCGCGGACGGCGGUAGAGAGCGACAUCGUCCAGCUUCAGUGCUGAGCUCCUUGAGCUGAUCUAGCAUGGGGGAUAAGAACCACUUGUCGAACUUGGGUUGGACCUUGCAGUUGGUACUGAACAUGCGGAUGUCAAGGCAUCUGGCUGGCCCAGGGUGCGAUGAAAGGAUCUUGGAUACUGCGGCCAUGCGUAUGCAAUCCCCGUCGCAGAGGCAGCUGUCGACAGUGAGGUUGAGGGGGACACAUCGCUAGUGGGGGCGCCACCGCCGGGAGAGCAGGGCGGUCCGCACGGCAGAUUUGGUGGGGAGGAGGCCGAUGAUGACGAGCAGCAUGUCGUCAGGGAGGCUGCUGAUGAAGUCCAGGCUCACCGGAUGAGGUUUUGGCUCGAGCCGCCUCCACUUGUUGGCUGCCUCGCCGUCCAUCUCAACCGGCAGCGACGCCGGUGUACAUGUGUGCUGGUGUGUGUUGUGUGUUGGGUGUGCGCGAGUGCGUCCUUCUGUGCAUGCCGUCGCGUAGUGGUGAAUUGUGCGCGAGUGCGUCCUUCGCGCGGAAGAAGUGUGUCCUCAAUGCACCCUCAAUUUACUAUCAUGCGGGGUGCUACCCUGAGUGGUUUCAACUUUGUUUACUUCACCCCGUGUCAGAUGGGCCUCUAGUUUACUUAUUUUCACCCACUGUCACAUGGGCCAGCACACGAAGAUACAGAACACAAGUUGACAAGGCAGCAUGUGGAUUGGUUGACCAGUCAACUAAACAAUAUACGGAGCUAUACGCUGACACAGUGAGCAUAUAAUCCGUCGGUAUAGAGAGUUCGAGUGAGAGGGGAGGCCUGUGAGAGAUAGUAGAGAGAGAGAGAGAGAGAGAAAGAGCUACUCCCUCUGUUCGAUAAUGUAGUUCUAACAUUUUUUUUAAAGUCAAACUUUUGAAACUUUGACCAAGUUUAUAAAGAAUUUACUUAUAUCUAUGAGACCAAAGAUAAAUGAUAGUAUGAAGUAAGUACAUGUUGUGAUGAAUCUAAUGAUCGUUCCAGAUGUAAAUAUUUUUCUCCACUUAUACCUGGUCCAACUUUUCUGAGAUUUGACUUUUCAAAACAUCCAUAUGCUUAUGGAUGUGAGAGAGUCCCUAACUAGACACCGCUUUUGGCCGGCGGACUUCCUGCUGGUGUAUGAUUCGCGAGCGGUGCAGAAUGCGGCAAUCAGCGCGGCCGUGGUGGAUGGCGAUGGGUUCUCGCUGAGGCUCUCACCGUGGAACAGGCAGUUGCAGGCUACCCGGAGACAGUUCAACUACCGGGUGCGGUUCGGCAUGGAGGGCAUCCGCCGCAUGUGUGGAGCCGCGGAAUGAUGCAAAUUGUGCUCGGUUCAUCGGCAUGGGUGGAGAGGCUGGGCACGCUCACCGCGAGCAGGGUAGACCUGGAUUGCUUUGAGGCCUACCUGUGGAUGAAUUAUCCUUCGCUGAUUCCCAUGGAGAAGCUCAUCAUGGUGGAGGAGCCGGAUGCAGCCAUGGAGGUCCAGAUUGCCGAUGGGCUGGUCUUGCCGGCGGACGCUUUGGUGCCGCUGGAGAAGAGUUUGCUCGAGUACAAGGUGAUCAUACAUUUGAUCCACACUAAGAACAUGGAGUAGGGAUCUGGCCCGUCCUCCGGCGAUGAUGAUGAUGGCGACGAGUUCGACUUCCCGGAGGCUGAUCCCCAUGGCCCCGGCGGCGCACGCAACACUCGCCGCCGUUUCACACACACUAGCGGAGUGGUCGACGGUCCUAGCCGACCGAGGCAGACGCCCCGCAGGCAGGGUGAUGGGUCUGGGCACAGGAGAGUGGCGGUGGAUCUACCCAGGUCCGUUCAGCCAUGGAGAAGGCGGCUGGGCGGUGAGGGUGCCGCCGGCAUGGUUUCCGGCAUCCGCAGCCCCGUGGAGCCAGAUGCGGACAAGGCGGGGGAUGGGCCCGCAGCGGCUGAUGCGGUGACGACAGAGGAUGAUGCACAAAGGGCGGUGGGGCCUGAGAACCCAGUGGAACCUCUUUUGACUGAGGCGGUUACGACCGGACGGAUCCGAGGCUUCCAGAGGGCGGGUCGGCCGGCGCGCUGGUGACACCUGGCUCCAACGGCUCAAGGCGGACGCUGGGUUGGAAUAACCAGUGCGACUGGAUGACUCUACCACGUGCGCUGGGCAGCGGGAACCGGCUUUUGCUCACUCCAGGGGGGACAGGAAGUUUUCAAAUUUCAAGCCAAUCUUCCGCCUCCUUUUUCUCCUGGAGUAACAACAAGACCGCUAGGGGAUCGUGGAACGUGGGUGCCAGUGAGAGGGCUGGACCGGAGACAUUCCUGGUCAGCUUAUCCUGUUCUGAAUCAAACUCGCCUGCGGGUGGGACCCCGAGCCCGAUGAGUAGCCAGAUUGAGAGCCUAGGAUCGAAGUGCCAGAAAAGGACUGAGCCUUUGCUCCACCGCCCAACUAUGGUACACAAUAGGUGAAAGAGGAUGACACCCCCCACCAUGCUGAGGCGUAGUGUCGGGAUUAACGGGCGCUUCCCAGGGGGCUCGUCAGUCAAGCAACAACAACGAACACUGAUGAUACAACUUGGCAUUGCUUGUGAGGGGGAGGUGAUUGGAGAUGAAGCCAUGCAGGCGUACGUGGACCUCUUCUCCCGUCCCUUGAGCCAGCAGCACAUCGCGGCCAUUGUUGGCCUAUUCAGUUGGCAGGCGGAUGUGCUGCCGUUGGGACGUGUGGUGGACAGGGAGGCAGCAUAGUAGGUUGGUCCUGGUGGUCUUAGGGUAGGCCUCUCCUAAUGGCUAACCCUACCAUGUCUAUUGUGGUGUGGAACAUGAGGGCCAUCAACAACCCCGCUAGGCGCAAUGCAAUAAAAAAUCUCAUUUCGUGCUCAGGUGCUAGCAUCGUGUGUUUACAGGAGACCAAGGUCCAGAACAUGGACUUGGCCAUGGUCCAGCAAUGCUUAGGUUUCGACUUUGACUGUUUUUUCUGCUUGCCGGCGGUGGGCACCUGUGGGGGGAUUCUGCUGGCUAGCAAAUCUGCAACUGUUCGCCUAACAAACCCACAUUUUAUGGAUAAUACGGUCAUGGCCAGAGUGGUGUUCAGCGACCUGCCCAGGUGGUGGCUUAUCGGGGUGUACGGACCCCAGGGGGAUAUAGACAAAAUUUUCUUUCAUGCAGCAGCUCAGGGAGAUUCGGGUUUUGCAUGCAGGCCCCUGGAUGGUGGCGCGAGAUUUUAACCUCAUAGCGGACCCCACAGACAAGAGCAACGGCAGGCUAAAAAGACGCAUGAUGGGCCGGUUUAGAAAGUGCAUCUCUGAUCUAGAGCUGCAAGACAUCUAUCUGAACGGCAGGCGUUACACAUGGUCCAUUGAGCGCCAAGCUCCGACCUUGGAGAAACUUGAUAGACUUCUUGUUUCUGUGGACUGGGAGUCGCAGCACCCCACGACCUUCUUAUCGGCGUUGAGAUCCAGCGUGUCAGACCACUGCCCAUUGAAUUUGGCGCUUGACACUAAUAUGCGCCAGGGCAAGCGGUUCCACUUUGAAGUUUUCUGGACUAAGGUCGAUGGGUUUCAUGAGGUGGUCAGGCAAGCUUGGGAUGGACAACUAUACGUGCAGAAUCCCUUCAAAAUAAUCGCUAUCAAGCUAAAGGCAACGGCCAAGGCGCUAAAGAGCUGGAAUGAUAGAUACAUUGGCAGCAUCAAACAACAAAUUAGCAUCGCAACAUAAGUGAUUCUACGACCGGAUGUAGCUAUGGAAGGCCGGUCCCUUUCGGAGGCCGAGGUGGCUCUGAGGAGAUUGCUAAAGCGAAAGCUGUUGGGUUUGGCAUCAAUGGAGAGAUCAAUUGCGCGACAAUGAUCAAGGGUGCUUUGGCUUAAGGAUGGGGACGCUUGCACCGAGUUCUUUCACGCGCAUGCGAGCCACCGACGACGCAAGAACUUCAUCACUAAACUGAAAGUAGAUGACGUGAUAACCACCAAGCAUGAGGAGAUGGCCGAGGGGAUUGACUCGUUCUUCACGGGUCUACUCGGUGGGGCAACGGCCGCGCUUUUACAAUCAAUCUUGAUGAAAUCGGCAUGCCGUCCAAGGACUUGACCCAUCUUGACCAUGAUUUUAUGGAAGAGGAGGUAUGGGCAGCUGUUUGCACGCAAGGGCUGGAUAAGUCACUAGGGCCCGAUGGAUUCACACCUAGAUUCUACAUGGCGUGUUGGCAAAUAAUCAAGGAGGACAUUAUGGAAGCAUUCCAGUCUUUUGGCAAUAUGGAUUUUCGGGGCUUAACAUCUAUAAAUCAGGCACUCAUCACUCUUCUGCCCAAGUCGCCGGCUGCGAUCGAUGUACAAGAUUACCGCCCGAUAAGCUUGAUACACAGCUUCCCAAAGCUUGUGGCGAAGGUACUUUCCGCGUGCGUGGCUCUGGAGAUGUCUGGCCUUGUCGACGCGCACCAGAGUGCAUUCAUAAAAGGUCGAUGCCUCCAUGACAACUACAUGCUGGUCCAGGGCAUGGCUAGAAGGCUACACGCCGCCGGUCGGCUGGCAGUGAUGUUGAAGUUGUACAUCACUAAAGCUUUUGACAUCGUGGAUUGGGAAUUCCUGCUCAAAAUCCUUCGACAUAUGGGGUUCAGCAGCAAGUGGAUCUCGUGGGUGACUGGACUUUUAGCCUCUUCCUCGAUGCGGGUGCUGCUCAAUGGAGUGCCAGGGGAGGUGAUAUAUAAGAGAUGUGGGCUGCGCCAGGGAGAUCCCUUCUCCCCGUUGUUGUUUGUCAUGGUGAUGGAAGGGCUACACUACCUGUUUAAGCAUGCGGCUGAUGAGGGGGUUUUGCAGUCGCUCGCGCCAGCCGAUUUUCAUAGCCGCACCUCAAUCUUCGCCGAUGACGUCAUUACCUUCAUCACGCCUGACAGAGAUAGCUUGAGGGUGUGUUAUCUGCUCCUAACCAACUUCGGCAUGGCCUUAGGUCUUAGAACCAACCUUGCCAAAUGCUCAGCGCACCCAAUCAGAUGCUCUAAUGAACACCUACAACUGAUCACCGAGGAGCUGGGUUGCCAGGUGCUAGGAUGGCCGUGCCGCUAUCUCGGGCUCCCGCUUGUGAUAAGGAAGAUCACGGCAACCCAGCUACAGUCGUUGGUGGAUAAAAUGGCAGAUAGACUGUCGGCUUGGUAGGCGUGACUUUUGUACAGAUCGAGGAGACUAGAACUGCUGAAGACCACGCUAGCGGCAAUGCCCAUUCACGCCAUGAUUGCGUUGGACUUGCCAGCAAAAACUCUCGAGGCAAUGGUCAAGAUCUGUAGAGGUUUUCUCUGGAAAGGACGCCGGGAUGUGAGCGCCGGACACUGUCUGGUGGCCUGGGAGAAGGUGUGCUCCCUUAAGGAGCACGGUGGGCUCAGGGUACCCAAUCUACGGCUGCUCAACUUGGCGCUUCGAGCUCGAUGGCCAUGGCUCACUAGGACUGACCAAGAUAGGUCAUGGAAGGAAUUCAACCUUCAGGUGCCGUCAGAGUCAAUGGGAAUAUACAAAGCGGCCACCAAGUGUACUCUGGGAGACGGGGCCAUGGCCAAAUUCUAGAUAGAUUGGUGGCUCCCAGAGGGAAGGAUUCAGAAUCUAAUGCCCACUCUGUUCGCAGCCAUCAAGAAAAAGGCAGUGGCUGAUUGCUCGAUGCGGCAUGCCCUCUUGACGGGAUGGUGGUAGGAGGUUUCACCUAACAUAAGCGCCCAGGGACUGCUUGAAUUUCUGGGCUUAGUGGAUCGACUACAAGACGCCCGACUUGCGGAAGGGGUAGACGACGAGAUUGUAUGGUUAUGGGAGGCCAACAGAUCCUUCUCCGCAAGUUCGGCCUACCGGGCAUUCUUCGCUACUAGAGUGGAGGCGGCAGGCGCCACCCAAAUCUGGAAAUCGCGUGCCACUCUAGUCUGCAAAUUCUUUGCGUGGCUGGCCAUGAAGAACAGAUGUUGGACGGCAGACAGACUAGAGCGCCGCCAGCUACCGCACCCAGCCGCCUGCCCUUUUGUGAUCAAGAGCUAGAGACAAUCAACCACAUACUCCUUGGGUGUGUCCUGGCUCGGUAAGUGUGGACAGUGUAGCUACCAACUGGGCUAGGCCGACAUGGGUGCCACGGCAUGACAAUAAUCUGGUGGACUGAUGGACUUCGCUGGACCCACAAUGAGAUAUGAGGAAAGAAACAUGGGCAGUCGUCACCUUAGUGGCUUGGAUGCUCUGGAGGCACAGGAACGACAUCGUUUUCAAUGGCGAGGUUCCAUCGGUGGAUGUAGUGCUGAACGAGGUUAACGCCGAGGGACAAAACUGGUGGGCAGCGGCUUUGCUGAGGGAAGAUAGAUCCCUACCGAUGAGGGUGGACAGGUUGGAUAGAGUCGAGUAGUACCGAUAGGUAUCGUGGUGUGGCUGCCUAGCCGUGGUUGAGUUGUAAAAACCUUUGCCUUCAUGGCAUUUUCUAUCUAUGAUCUCGAUACGUCAUUCCAUUGACGUAUCCUUGAAGAGAGAGAGAGAGAGAGAGAGAGAGAGAGAGAGAGAGUGAGUGGAAUAGAAAGAGUGAGUGAAAAAGUGUGUGUGCGUGUGUGAAAGAGACAUGCAACACACGAUAAAAGUAGAGAAAAAGCGUGUGUGUCUUAUGCAAACAUAUCACACAUGCAUCUUCGACAACGGAAGCAAGGUGAGGAGAUAGUGUGUGGUUGUUUGCAACCAAGAGAGAAAUACCCCUAGCACGUGGCCAAGAGGGGUCUCACAAACAAGGGAGAGAGGUCGAGAGAGACGUACGGAGAAAAUGCAGACAUGGGGAGGAGAGAGUGUAUGUUUGUCACAGAGAGAUCCCCUGGAGAUCGUGAUGGGACUACAUGGGUGGAAGAUCGAGUGACAAGGUGUGUGCGCAAUAGAAGAUACCCCGAGAGAUAUUGAGAUAAACGUAUGGAUGGAAGGAGACAAUAUGUGUGUUCCUGAUGGCUAGUGAGAGAUAAUCAUACUUAGGGGGAGUGCUUGCGCCUAUGAUGGAGUGAGGGAUUAUGGUACUUAGGGGGGGUGCGUGUCACAUAGAGAUAGUACAAGGGUGGAGAGUGUUGGAUGCGUCUAUAUGUAUAGCGUGAGCGAGACAUGUGUAUGUGUGAACUAGGAAGAUAUAAAGUUUGAGAGAGAUAGAGGAUCCCCGAUAAGGCUGAGUGGUGCGUCAGAUAGUUGAGAGGGGGAAAGAGAUAUUCCAUUCGCUCGAUAAUGCAGUGCAUGUAAAUUUGUUAGAAGUCAAACUUUGGAAACUUUGAUCAGGUUUACGCAAAUGGUAUUUAUAUCUACAAUACCAAAGAUACAUCAUACGAAACUACAUCUCAUGGUGAAUCUAAUGGUAUAUGUUUGUCGUUCUAGAUGUAAUUGUUUUUCUCGACGUACAUGGUCAAACUUUGUGAUGUUUGACUUUUUAAUAAAUCUAUAUGCUAUGGACCGAAGAGAGUGCCUAAGUUGAGAGAGAUCAAGUGCGUGUGAAGGAGAAUGAGAAAGUGUGCAAAAAGAGUAUGUGUGUGAAAGAGAAAGUGACAACAAACGAUAAAUUAGAGAGAGUGUGUGUUUUUUCGUUUCUUAUGCAAACAUAUCACACAUGCAUCUCCAAGAUAGAAAAGAGAGGCGAGGAGAUACACGAAGAUAGCUAGUGCGUGAUUGUUUGCAACGGAGAGAGACAUCCCUAUAGCACAUGUCCAAUAGAGGUCUGGCCAACAAGGAACAAAGGUCGAGAGGGACACAUGGAGAACAUGGAUGCAUGGGGAGGGAGAGAGGGUGUGUUUGUGAUAGAGAGAUCCCCUCGAUAUCGUGAGGGGACUAUAUGGGUGGGAGAUCGAGGGAGGUGCGUGCGUGAUAGAAAGAUGCCCCGAGAGAAGUUGAGAUAUACUGUAACACCCCCAGAUGUAACAUGUCCCAAUUUGGCAAUAUAUCAACUUGACCUCAUCCAUUUCUUGUGGGUUUUUUCAUGUUUGGCCUCAUCUUGUUUGGUUGUGUGGUUUAUUCUUUUCAUUGUCAUAUUCCUUUUAGCCAUAUUGCAUUUGUGCCUCUUGUCAUUUAGCAUUCAUCCUCAUCAUAUAGUGCAUUUUCAUCUCAUGCCAUCUCAUGUUGCAUUUUGUCAUUCAUGUUGUUGCCAUGAGCAUCAUGGGCAUGACCUUGUCCCCCCCCCCUUUUCAACCAUGGCACCAUCACUUCUCCUCCUUCCUUCUCCUUCCUUCUCUUAUCAAGUGCUAUAUUUUUCCUUCUCUAUUAAUGUUCAUCUUCUCCCUGUAAAUCUUGCUCCUUGCCCUAAACCUCUCUGCCAAAGAUAUCCUUAUUUGAAGUUGUUUUGGUCAGGUUCAAAAAUGACACAAGUUUGAAAAUAUUUCAAACUUGUCUUAUUUUUCUACCUCUAAAAAUGCCCAAUGCAAUUUUUUAAAAUAGUGGACAAUUCUAGGAGUUGGAGAGCAUUUUCUUUAUGCUCUAACUCCUCUCCCCUUUUCCUGAGCUUUUCUGUUUCUAUUUCUGUUUUUAAAAAUAGAAAUGAAGCAGCAGCAGCAGCCAGCGCAGCAGCCCCCCCUGGGCCUCGGCCUCCCAGGCCGGCCCAGCUAGCGCCCCGCGUAGCCAGCCAGCGCGCCAGCCAGCCCGCUCGCGCCCUCGUCUUUUCUCACCCACGCAAGCGCGCACCCCCGCUGGUCCCUCGCCACGUGGAUAGGCCGGCCCCGCUCGUCAGCACCUCCACUGUCUCCCGCACCCACCUUUUCCCUCUCCUCUCGCCGUCGCCAUGGGGACCGCGAGCACGAGCGCGCGUGAGCUCGCACCGCUCGCCCUAGCCCUUAUAAGCCCCAGCUUCCGUGUCCCUCGCGUCGCCUAGGGUUUCCCUCGUCCGCCGCUGUCGUUUCCAGGUGAGUUUAGCCACCAGAUCCACCCUUUUCCACCCCGACCCGAGCGCACCUGAGAGCGCGCCUUGUCGCCGGCGUGCUCUCCGGCCACUCCAAACCCCGCAGUUCGUGUCCAUCUUCUUCCUCGCCGUCGUCUCCUUCCACGACGUUGACUACGGUGCCCAGACGACGAGUUCAUCGACGUCCCCUGCUUCCUCCUUCCUCUCGGUCAGAAAAUGCGCCAAGAUUCAGAGCUCCACCUCGUCGCUGGCAGCUCGUCUCCGUCGGCUACUCCGUGUCCUUGGGUGAGCUGGGUAACGCGCCUCCCUCUCCCAUCCUUCCCAUGGCAUGUAGGAGCCCGUAGAUCGCAUCCGGUCCUUGUCUUUCCCGCGCUCGCAGUGCUCCGGCGUUUCUGAACUUGUUAGUGCAGUGCGGUGCAACCACAGCGUGUUUUGCGUGUCCCCGCUCUGGUUCCCCCUCGUCGUGCUCCCAUAGCGCGCUCGCGCACUCGUUUUCGCCUCGCGCGCGCCCUGCAAGCCUCCCGCAGCCCCGGCUUUUCCCUGCGACGCCGUAGCUGCCGUUGCCGUUCGCCGUAGACGCCAUGGCCCCGAGUCGAGCAACUGCUCGAGCUCAAGCGCCCCUGUUUUCCCCUCUUAGAUGCACGCGUCUGUUCCCCUUUCCGCACGACCGCCGGAGUCCCUGUGCCCGCUGGGUUGCCGCCGUUGCCCUCGUCGGCGUCGGCGUCUUCUCUGUUUGAAAACAGAGUGGCUCGACCUGGUGCUUACCUAAAAGGAGCCGGAUCCCUUUCCUAUCAGAACCACCUAGCUAGCCCAGUGGUUUCCGUAGCAGAGCCACACCGGGGAGACCCGGGUUCGAUCCCCCGCGGGCACAGUUUAUUCCCCCCCUUUUUUCCUUUGCACUGUGCGUAUGACAGGGUGGCCCCACCUGUCAUACUCUCUUAGCCUGUCUGUUUUUUUAUUUAUUUAUUUUUAUUAUUAUUAAGUGUUUUAUUUCUGUUCCUGCGAAUAUACCAUUCCUGGCAUUUAGUACCUUUCCUUUUCGGGCAAGUCCAAUUCUGGACGUUUCCAAAUAUGGAAAGUGCCAUUUCUGUCAAUUACCAUUUUAGGCAGGUUUCAUCUUAGUGCAUUUGUGAUGAUUUUUCUACAGCAACCCUAACAUAUUAUAUAUGUUUUUGGGGUAGAAAAAUCCCACCAAUCCGUUGGUGGCAUUAGUUUCUGCAUUUGAGCAAGUUCAUAAUCAUGCCAUCUCACUUCUUAUGGUUGUUUUGUCUCUUAUGUGCUUGUUCAUGCAAAUAUGCUAGUUGUUUGUUUUGCACUUGAGUAGCUACAUUGUCAUGCCUACUUCAUGAUAGUACUUGUUCCAUGCCUGGUAAUGAGUUGAUCAAGCCUGUAGAGAUGCCAUGAUGAAUCUGUUUUUGCUAUGUCUAGUAAUUCCACUAAGUCUGUAGAACUGUUAUCUCUUGCAAUAUUGCCAUGCUAUUUUAGUCAUGCUCUAGUGGUUUUUAGGUUGAGCUCAGUGUUCAUGUUUCGUAGCGCAUCUCCGGUACAUCACUGUUAUGCAUCUUGUUCAUAUGUUUGGGUGCUAUAGCUUGUUCAUACUUUGCAUCCAAGUGGCCAUGUUACUGUUUGCAUCAUAUCUUGUCUUGCUUGUCUUUUGCAAACCGUGUACCCGAAUCCGGUGAUCCUUAUAUCGAUUUCAACCGAAAUCAUCUCAUCUUUCCAGUGGCAUACUUGGUUUGCCAAGUUGAUGCCUUGUUCAACAUCCUUCCUUCUGAAGCACGCAUACGCUUUGCAUAUCACCUCUCGCAUAUCAUGACAUGUUUUGCAUCAUGAUGCCUGUGCAUUGCACCGUGAUUUAUUGUGGUUCCUUGCUUGUGUUCUUGUUUUGGGUAGAGCCGGGAGACGAGUACGUGAACGAGGAACCUGUUGAGUACGCUAAUGAGGAUCUAGCCUUCGACAACUCUGAGAACCUUGCAGGCAAGAUGAUCAUACCUUCGAUAUCACUUCUAUCUUUGCUUGCUAGUACUCGCUCUUUCGCUAUGUUAGCCCUGCCUGCCUUUGUUUACCAUGCCUACCUAUUUCCAUGUCAACCCUCUAACCAACCUGUCCUAGCAACCGUCGUUUGGCUAUGUCACCGCUUUUGCUCAGCCCCUCUUAUAGCAUUGUUAGUUGCAGGUGAAGAUGAAGUUUGUUCCCGGUCGGAACACGGAUAUUUUGGGAUAUCACAAUAUCUCCUGUUUAAAUUAAUACACCUUAUAUACUUGGUAAAGGGUGGAAGGCUCGGCCUUAUGCCUGGUGACUUGUUCCACUCUUGCAGCCCUAGUUUCCGUCAUACCGGUGUUAUGUUCCUUGAUUUUGCGUUCCUUACACGGUUGGGUGAUUUAUGGGACCCCCUUAACAGUUCGCUUUGAAUAAAACUCCUCCAGCAAGGCCCAACCUUGGUUUUACCAUUUGCCACCUAUACCCCUUUUCCCUUGGGUUUUCGCGAGCCCGAGGGUCAUCUUUAUUUUAGCCCCCCCNNNNNNNNNNNNNNNNNNNNNNNNNNNNNNNNNNNNNNNNNNNNNNNNNNNNNNNNNNNNNNNNNNNNNNNNNNNNNNNNNNNNNNNNNNNNNNNNNNNNNNNNNNNNNNNNNNNNNNNNNNNNNNNNNNNNNNNNNNNNNNNNNNNNNNNNNNNNNNNNNNNNNNNNNNCGAGUGUUGGUCUGAACCGAGCAACCUGCGGGGCCACCUUGGGGCAACUUGAGGGCUGGUUUUACUCGUAGCUUGACUCAUCCGGUGUGCCCUGAGAACGAGAUACGUGCGACUCCUAUCGGGAUUUGUCGGCACAUCGGGCGGCUUUGCUGGUCUUGUUUUACCAUUGUCGAAAUGUUUUGCGAACCGGGAUUCUGAGACUGAUCGGGUCUUCCCGGGAGAAGGUCUAUUCCUUCGUUGACCGUGAGAGCUUGUGAUGGGCUGAGUUGGGACACCCCUGCAGGGUAUAUGAUCUUUCGAAAGCCGUGCCCGCGGUUAUGAGGCAGAUGGGAAUUUGUUAAUGUCCGGUUGUAGAUAACUUGACACUUGACCUCUUUAAAAUGCAUCAACUGUGUGUGUAGCCGUGAUGGUCUCUUCUCGGCGGAGUCCGGGAAGUGAACACGGUUUGAGUUAUGCUUGACGUAAGUAGUUUCAGGAUCACUUCUUGAUCACUUCUAGUUUCUCGACCGAUGUGUUGCUUCUCUUCUCGCUCUCACUUGCGUAUGUUAGCCACCAUAUAUGCUUAGUGCUUGCUGCAGCUCCACCAUAUUACCCCUUACCUACCUAUGAGCUUAAAUAGUCUUGAUCUCGCGGGUGUGAGAUUGCUGAGUCCUCGUGACUCACAGAUUCUACCAAAACAUAUGCAGGUGCCGAGGAUACUGGCGCAGAUGGCGCAACCAAGCUGAAGUGGGAAUUUGAUGAGGCCCUUGGCCGUUACUAUGUAUCAUUUCCGGAUGAUCAGUAGAGGUGCCCAGUCGGGACGAUCGGGGAUCUAGCAUUUGGGGUUGUCUUCUUUUCAUUUGAACUUGACCGUAGCCGGUCUAUGAGUGUAUUUGAAUGAUGUAUGAUCUUAAAUUAUGUAUUGUGUGAAGUGGCGAUUGUAAGCCAACUCUCUUAUCCCAUUCUUGUUCAUUACAUGGGAUUGUGUGAAGAUGACCCUUCUUGCGACAAAACCACCAUGCGGUUAUGCCUCUAAGUCGUGCUUCGACACGUGGGAGAUAUAGCCGCAUCGUGGGUGUUACAUAUACCAUGCACAUGUUUGUGAUGGAGACUAAGAUUAGCUAGUCAUAUACAUAUAGGGGGGACUGUGUGUGCCUACAAUUUAGUGAGAGACCCUCAUACUUGGCUAGCUAGGCAUGAGAUUGUGUGUCUGUGCGCGUGAGAUGGAGAGAGAACGAGGGAGAAAGAUAGAGUUUUAGAUGGGCCUAUCGAGUGCAAGUGAGAUAUGCAUGUGUAUGUGUGACCCAGGUAGAUGGAGAGUUUGAGAGAGAGAGAGGGAAGAGCUCCGAGACGACGGAGUGGUGCGUGAGAGAGUUACGGGCAACGAGCCAAGGACCCAAGAUAUCUAUCUUGGACUAGAGAAUCAUACAUAGUGUGCGAAAGAGACCUAUAGAUGGAGUAUAUAUGCAUGUGAUAUNNNNNNNNNNNNNNNNNNNNNNNNNNNNNNNNNNNNNNNNNNNNNNNNNNNNNNNNNNNNNNNNNNNNNNNNNNNNNNNNNNNNNNNNNNNNNNNNNNNNNNNNNNNNNNNNNNNNNNCACACGCACAAAGAGAGAGAUGGAGAGAAAGGGAGAGGGACCAACAAGAUUUGUGUGUUGGAUGCGUGCGAUAGAAUUGAACAUUGUCGGUGAGAGAGAGAGAGAGAGAGAGAGAGAGUGCAGGAGUCCGGGAGAGGGGGAGGUCGCGUUUUAUGCAUCAAAGACUGAUAUAAAGCAUGUUUCGAUAUAAACUUGCAUUCAAAUAUUUAAAUUGGAGAACAUGUUGUCUGCAAUCCACACAUGAACGGAUAUAUGCGUAUAUCAAACAAGUUCAUCAAUUUGACUUUCAACAUGUUCAUGGAGUACUAUAAUACUGUACAACAUGAUACUCGAUUGAGGUGUUCAAGUUUGGAUUUAGUUCACUAUUUUGACCUGGUGAAUGAGCUAUUUCAUUGAAUCGAGAUAUUUCAUUUUGGGCUUGAUUCCCGUUUUUGAGUGGGCCAACUAUUUGUCAUAUAGUAAAUCGCUAGCAACGAGCAUGUAAAAACACAUUACUCCCGAGCAUCAUCUCUCCAUCUAAAAAAGAAGUGGCAAGCUAAUAUUUCAAAAUUUGAUUCGAAACGACUUGGUAAGGUAGACAUGGAUGCUCAUUCUCCCAAAAUUUGAAUGAACCGUUAAACAUCCUCUGCUCGGUGGAAUUCGCCCGAGCAAAUAAAUGGGAGACGCAAAAUUACCGGCCUAUGUGGGACACGCAUCAAUUGGCCCGUUGUACAUCGAGGGUAGGUUCGUAACUUCAUCCAAGUGCGCCUUCUUCUCGGCCAAAUGACAUGUGCCGAAUAACUCAUAAACCAUGGUCGGCAAAACAUGCUCUCCUCACCCAAAAUAGCUCGUGCCCACUAUUUCAAAACACGCUCUCCUCGCCCGAAAUCGCUCGCGCCCACUAUAUUUCAAAACACGCCCUCCUCGCCUGAAAUCGCUCCCGCCCACUAUUUGGGGAGAAGCAAAGUUACUCUACUAUACCCGACCCUCAAUACACGGUCCCAAGCCGAGAAGCCUAAAGGCGGGGGUAGAACUGUAACCCCCCCCCCACACACACACACACAUAUUUCAGACAAAUGCGUCCAUAAGACAUGGUUCCACUCCCCUCCCAAUUCCCCCCACCCCAUUCAUACCUCGUGGGCACCAAAUCACCUUCUCCCGAGCCGCGAAACCUCAGCCCCUCCUCCAAGGUGCCCCCCCACCGCACCAAUUUCACAGUCGCCCUCCUCCCUAAUGAUGGAGACGAUGUCCAUUUGCCAUCGUGCACUGAGUCGUGUGCCUCUUACUCCGUGCUGCUGGAUCUGCCUCGACGACGGCCGCGUUAACCAUACUGGAGUCGAUUCACCCCCGCCAUUGUUCACGGCGCCGGGGCGGCUCCAACUUCGAAUCCGUCCAGAGUCCCGGUGCUGCUUCCCCGUAGCCGUUGACCGUCACGACAUCACUGCCUCCCUGCCGCCGGUCGCCACCGCAACCACGCCGACCUCAUCGACUCGGCAGCUGGAGCUGCCUACUUCACCAUGCCGCCAGAUAGGUCACACCCUCAUCUCAAAUCACUGUAUUUAGGCAUCAGUUGUCUAAAUUUUUAUUCUGGGCAAAUCGAUUCCCAAUGGGAAGCAGCAUCCCUCGAGGCGGCGGAGCUCCUAGGCUGUCGGUUGGCUUGUGUCUAACGUAAGGGUGCGGGGCCGCAAGUUCGCCGCAGAAGCAGCGCUUAGAUGGCUAUCUUAGAGUUGUGUGGGUUGAAGGUACUGCCACCGCUGGAUCUGGAUGACGGCGGGUCUUUGUUGAUUGGCCCGGGGGCGGCGCAACCACGACAGUAUGGUGGGGCGGGGAGCGGGGUUUUGGCCGAGGCCAUGGACGGCGGAGGCAGGCUGCUCUGCCAUUGGUCGCUGGCUCUUCGGGGAAGAUUAUGAAUAGUGUGAGCCGGGAGGCACAAGACGGCCAUCAAGCCAUCUGGCGUAGAUCGGAUAGUACCCAAAAAAAUAAAAUCGUGUGACCCCAAUUUAGUCUUCAGUCAACAAACGUGUGACCACUCUCGUACCUUGCUGUUGAUCUCUUAGUGUAUUUCUUCAGAUCAAAGAGAUGUGUCAUUCUUAACAUUAUGCGUUAUCUGCAUCUUCAGCCACACCGUCUUCCGACUCACCGCAGCUGCUCCAACAAGGGAAGCAUACACCAGAAGGGAGCUAUAGUCCCCACUCAACAGUUCCCUGCAUCGAAUGCGCAUGCCCGACAUGGACAACCACAACAACUGCAGGGCCAUCGACAAGUCAGCACAUGAUGCUCACUCCUAUGGAUGGCGGCCAGACAGGUUGUACCCUCAUCUUACUUGUGUGCAACAUUUAUGGCUCUGUUAUUCAUCUAAGCAUGAAAAAUAGAUUAUCACAUUUCACUGUAUAUUCAUGAUGAUCUCUUACGGGUCUUGUUCAGGAGUUAACAUUGUUCCAUAGUUAAGCUAAGAUACUUGUUCUUUAGGUAACGUUGUUCCAUAGUUAUCAUCCAUCAGCCAAUGCUAUCCCGCAGGCUGGUGAUUAUAGUAUUAUACCACUUCUAGUAUUACCUAUGUUGUUCUUUAAUACUUUUGUGUGCCAUCUAGUUAAUUUCGAGUAUAAACGAUACAUAUUCUGUAGCUUUCAUCUGUGUUCUCCCUUUAGUUUUUGAGACCUGUUGCUGCUAGUUAACCUCAGUCCUACUAUUUAUGUCGUCUCCUACGGGCACUCAUUACAUAAAUCUAACUACUAGUUGUCUUCCAUGCAUGUCAGAUAUAAUUUCACACACUGAUAUAUCCACAAGAACCUCACGGAGCAAUGUAAAGGCCAAUAAACUUGAUGUCAAUGAUACCCAAUAUGAUGGAACAUGUAAAGGCAAUUCUUCAGAAGACUUGCAGACAUAUGAUGAAUCCUCUUCACCCCACAAGGUCCUUGCUCUAACUUGGCCCGUGAUAUGGGUACAACAUGCAUAUAAUGUCCUGGAGUGUAUCUACUCUGUUGCAAUGCCAUGUGCUUAGCAUGCUGAUCAUGCAUGUAAAUAUGUCAUGCCUUCCCGUUUUUCAGUACCUAUUCCAUUCAUGAUAACAUGUUUUUAAAUUCAAGUACUAUCAUUUUGCUCUAUCGUAAUGUCAUCUGCUUAAUUUGGACAUCAUGCUUCUGAAUAUCUUAUGCAUUGUUAUUCAUCAGUAUGUACUUCAUCUGUCUACCAUACCAUGUUUUUUUACAUUGAAGUGAUGUUCUAGUGCUCUAUUGCAAUGCCAUCUUAGUUUCCCAAUCAUACACGUGUAUGUUGCCUUAGUUUUUUCUAUACAUAUUCCGCUAGCAUAUAGUUUUACGUUCAACUAGUGUGUUUUUUACUGUGUUGUCCUGUCGUAUCCUAGCUCGUACACCAUACUCCCUCCGUCCAGAUUUCAAGUUGCCGAAAUGGAUAAAAAGUGAUGUAUAUAGAACUGAAAUACGCCUAGACCCAUCCAUUUUUUCCGGAUGGAGGGAAUACAUGUCAAUAUGUCAUGCAUUUCUAUUCUUCAGUACUUAUUCCAUCUCUCUGUUGUAGCAUGUUUUAUAAUUGAAGCACCAUUCUUCUAUACAAGGCAUGCAAGGGGAAGACGAGUAUGUUAGAAUCGGAAGGGUUACAAACAAGGUCUUUGCAAAAGAUCCAAACGCCAGGAGAUAAUAAACCAACUCCAGUUUUUAUAGAUACUGCUCCAGCACAAACAAACCCAACUCCUACUGAUAAUAAGCAGAUUCCAGUGGCCAAAGAACUAGUCCGCUCCAGUCCAGCAAAAAUAUGUCAACUCCAUUCUAAGAAGCAUGUGUGUACCCUUGCAUCAUGAAAUUUUAUAGCAUGCUGAUCAUAUUUUCUACAUGUUUCUUACCCAUCUCUCUUUUAGAAAAUAAGCUUAACAGAUAGAAGAAUUUCUACACUGGUAUUGUCUGUGAGGAAAGAUUCUUGCAGGAAUUCUCUGUGCUCCAAUGUAGAUGUAAGUACCUGUUAUAUCACUAUAUUUUUACAUCAGCAUGUAUUUUGUUAAUCAGCGUGAAUCCAACCUUUAUCUGAUCUAAAUUUAGUUGUAGCAAAAUGUAUGAUUAAAGGCCACAAUGUUGAUUUUUGUAAGGAAAACUGCCUGGUAGUUUUGCAUCCUGAGCUGCAUGAGUGUACUAUUGGAAAUAUGCCCUAGAGGCAAUAAUAGAAGUAUUAUUAUAUUUCAUUGUUCAUGAUAAUUGUCUUUUAUUCAUGCUAUAACUGUGUUAUCCGGAAAUCGUAAUACACGUGUGAAUACUUAGACCACACUAUGUCCCUGGUAAGCCUCUAGUUGACCAGCUCGUUGUGAUCAACAGAUAGUCAUGGUUUCCUGACUAUGGACAUUGGAUGUCGUUGAUAAUGGGAUCACAUCAUUAGGAGAAUGAUGUGAUGGACAAGACCCAAUCCUAAGCAUAGCAUAAAAGAUCGUGUAGUUCGUUUUGCUAGAGCUUUGCAAGUGUCAAGUAUCUCUUCCUUCGACCAUGAGAUCGUGUAACUCCCGGAUACCGUAAGAGUGCCUUGGGUGUAUCAAACGUCACAACGUAACUGGGUGACUAUAAAGGUGCAUUACAGGUAUCUCCGAAAGUAGCUGUUGGGUUGACACGGAUCGAGACUGGGAUUUGUCACUCCGUAUGACGGAGAGGUAUCUCUGGGCCCACUCGGUAAUGCAUCAUCAUAUUGAGCUCAAUGUGACCAAGGUGUUGGACACGGGAUCAUGCAUUACGGUACGAGUAAAGUGACUUGCCGGUAACGAGACUGAACAAGGUAUUGGGAUACCGACGAUCGAGUCUCGGGCAAGUAACGUACCGAUUGACAAAGGGAAUUGCAUACAGGGUUUGAUUGAAUCCUUGACAUAGUGGUUCAUCCGAUGACAACAUCGAGGAGCAUGUGGGAGCCAUCAUGGGUAUCCAGAUCCCGCUGAUGGUUAUUGACUGAGAGCGUCUCGGUCAUGUCUACAUGUCUCCCGAACCCGUAGGGUCUACACACUUAAGGUUCGGUGACGCUAGGGUUAUGAAGAUAUGUAUAUGCAGAAACCCGAAUGUUGUUCGGAGUCCCGGAUGAGAUCCCGGACGUCACGAGGAGUUCCGGAAUGGUCCGGAGGUAAAGAAUUAUAUAUAUGAAGUGCUAUUUCGGGCAUCGGGACAAGUUUCGGGGUUAUCGGUAUUGUACCGGGACCACCGGAAGGGUCCCGGGGGUCCACCGGGUGGGGCCACCUGUCCCGGGGGGGGGCACAUGGGCUGUAGGGGGUGCGCCUUGGCCAUCAUGGGCCAAGGGCACCAGCCCCUAUAGGCCCAUGCGCCUAGGGUUUCCCCCUAGGAGGAGUCCUAGUGGUGGAAGGCACCCCUAGCUGCCUUGGGGGGGAGGGAAACCUCCCCUAGGCCGCCGCCCCCCCUAGUAGAUCUCAUCUACUAGGGCCGGCGCCCCCCCUGGCACCCCUAUAUAUAGUGGGGGAGAGGAGGGACUUCAUACACCAGCCCCUGGCGCCUCCACCUCCCCACGUUACGUCUCUCCCUCGUAGUCUCGGCGAAGCCCUGCUGCUGUGACGCCCUGCAUCCACCACCACGCCGUCGUGCUGCUGGAUCUUCAUCAACCUCUCCUUCCCCCUUGCUGGAUCAAGAAGGAGGAGACGUCUCCCGUCCCGUACGUGUGUUGAACGCGGAGGUGCCGUCCGUUCGGCGCUGGUCAUCGGUGAUUUGGAUCACGUCGAGUACGACUACAUCAUCACCUUGCAAGCUUCCGCACGCGAUCUACAAGUGGUAUGUAGAUGCAAACUCUCUCCCUAGACUCGUUGCUUAGAUGAACUCAUAGAUGGAUCUUGGUGAAACCGUAGGAAAAAUUUUAAUUUUCUGCAACGUUCCCCAACAGUGGUAUCAGAGCUAGGUCUAUGCGUAGUUCUCUUUGCACGAGUAGAACACAACUUUGUUGUGGGCGUGGAUUUUGUCAUCCUACUUGCCUCUACUAGUCUUUUCUUGCUCAACGGUAUUGUGGGAUGAAGCGGCCCGGACCAACCUUACACGUACUCUUACGUGAGACCGGUUCCACCGACUGACAUGCACUAGUUGCAUAAGGUGGCUGGCGGGUGUCUGUCUCUCCCACCUUAGUUGGAGCGGAAUCGAUGAACAGGGCCCUUAUGAAGGGUAAAUAGAAGUUGACAAAAUCACGUUGUGGUGAUUCGUAGGUAAGAAAACGUUCUUGCUAGAACCCAAUUGCAGCCACGUAAAAGAUGCAACAACAAUUAGAGGACGUCUAACUUGUUUUUGCAGCGAUUGAUCAUGUGAUGUGAUAUGGCCAGAAGUUGUGAUGAAUGAUGAAUUGUGAUGUAUGAGAUCAUGUUCUUUGUAAUAGGAUUCACGACUUGCAUGUCGAUGAGUAUGACAACCGGCAGGAGCCAUAGGAGUUGUCAUUAUUUUUUGUAUGACCUGCGUGUCAUUGAAUAACGUCAUGUAAACUACUUUACUUUUUUGCUAAACGUUAGUCAUAGAAGUAGAAGUAGUCGUUGGCGUGACAACUUCAUGAAGACACGAUGAUGGAGAUCAUGAUGAUGGAGAUCAUGGUGUCAAGCCGGUGACAAGAUGAUCAUGGAGCCCCGAAGAUGAAGAUCAAUGGAGCUAUAUGAUAUUGGCCAUAUCAUGUCACAACUAUAUAAUUGCAUGUGAUGUUUAUUAUGAAUUAUGCAUCUUGUUUACUUAGGACGACGGUAGUAAAUAAGAUGAUCCCUUAUAAAAUUUCAAGAAGUGUUCUCCCCUAACUGUGCACCGUUGCUACAGUUCGUCGUUUCUAAGCACCACGUGAUGAUCGGGUGUGAUGGAUUCUUACGUUCACAUACAACGGGUGUAAGACAGUUUUACACAGCGAAAACACUUAGGGUUAACUUGACGAGCCUAGCAUGUGCAGACAUGGCCUCGGAACACGGAGACCGAAAGGUCGAACACGAGUCGUAUGGAAGAUACGAUCAACAUGAAAAUGUUCACCGACGAUGACUAGUCCGUCUCACGUGAUGAUCGGACACGGGCUAGUCGACUCGGAUCGUGUAACACUUAGAUGACUAAAGGGAUGUCUAAUCUAAGUGGGAGUUCAUAAUUUGAUUAGAACCUUGUUAUCAUGAACUUAGUCUAAAACCUUUGCAAAUAUGUCUUGUAGAUCAAUGGCCAACGCUAAUGUCAACAUGAACUUCAACGCGUUCCUAGAGAAAACCAAGCUGAAAGAUGAUGGCAGCAACUAUACGGACUGGGUCCGGAACCUGAGGAUCAUCCUCAUAGCUGCCAGGAAACAAUAUGUCCUAGAAGGACCGCUAGGUGACGCUCCCGUCCCAGAGAACCAAGACAUUAUGAAUGCUUGGCAGUCUCGCGCUGAUGAUUACUCCCUCGUUCAGUGCGGCAUGCUUUACAGCUUAGAACCGGGGCUCCAAAAGCGUUUUGAGAAUCACGGAGCAUAUGAGAUGUUCGAAGAGCUGAAACUAGUUUUCCAAGCUCAUGCCCGGGUCGAGAGAUAUGAUGUCUCCGACAAGUUCUACAGUUGUAAGAUGGAGGAAAACAGUUCUGUCAGUGAGCACAUCCUGAAGAUGUCUGGGUUGCACAACCGUAUGACCCAGCUGAACAUUAACCUCCCAGAUGCGGCGGUCAUUGACAGAAUCCUCCAGUCGCUCCCACCAAGCUACAAGAGCUUUGUGAUGAACUACAACAUGCAGGGAAUGGAAAAGACCAUUCCUGAAGUGUUCUCGAUGCUGAAGUCAGCAGAGGCUGAAAUCAAGAAAGAACAUCAAGUGUUGAUGGUCAAUAAGACCACUAAGUUCAAGAAGGGCAAGGGUAAGAAGAACUUCAAGAAGGACGGCAAAGAUGUUGCCGCGCCUGGUAAGCCAGUUACCGGGAAGAAGUCAAAGAAUGGACCCAAGCCUGAGACUGAGUGCUUUUAUUGCAAGGGGAAGGGUCACUGGAAGCGGAACUGCCCCAAAUACUUAGCGGAUAAGAAGGCCGGCAACACCAAAGGUAUAUUUGAUAUACAUGUGAUUGAUGUGUACCUUACUAGUAAUCGUAGUAACUCCUGGGUAUUUGAUACCGGUGCCGUUGCUCAUAUUUGUAACUCACAGCAGGAGCUGCGGAAUAAACGGAGACUGGCAAAUGACGAGGUGACGAUGCGCGUCGGGAAUGGUUCCAGAGUCGAUGUGAUCGCCGUCGGCACGCUGCCUCUACAUUUACCUACGGGAUUAGUUUUGAACCUUAAUAAUUGUUAUUUAGUGCCAAGUUUGAGCAUGAACAUUGUAUCAGGAUCUCGUUUAAUACGAGAUGGCUACUCAUUUAAGUCUGAGAAUAAUGGUUGUUCGAUUUAUAUGAGAGAUAUGUUUUAUGGUCAUGCUCCGAUGGUCAAUGGUUUAUUCUUAAUGAAUCUCGAGCGUAAUAUUACACAUGUUCAUAGUGUAGAUGCCAAAAGAUUUAAAGUUGAUAACGAUAGUCCCACAUACUUGUGGCACUGCCGCCUUGGUCACAUUGGUGUCAAGCGCAUGAAGAAGCUCCAUGCAGAUGGACUUUUAGAGUCUCUUGAUUAUGAAUCGUUUGACACGUGCGAACCAUGCCUCUUGGGCAAAAUGACCAAGACUCCGUUCUCCGGAACAAUGGAGCGAGCAACCAACUUGUUGGAAAUCAUACAUACCGAUGUGUGCGGUCCGAUGAGCGUUGAGGCUCGCGGAGGAUAUCGUUAUGUUCUCACUCUCACAGAUGACUUGAGUAGAUAUGGGUAUGUCUACUUAAUGAAACACAAGUCUGAGACCUUUGAAAAGUUCAAGGAAUUUCAGAAUGAGGUGGAGAAUCAACGUGACCGAAAGAUAAAAUUCUUACGAUCAGAUCGUGGAGGAGAAUACUUAAGUCACGAAUUUGGUACACACUUAAAGAAAUGUGGAAUCGUUUCACAGCUCACGCCGCCUGGAACACCUCAGCGAAAUGGUGUGUCCGAACGUCGUAAUCGCACUCUAUUGGAUAUGGUGCGGUCUAUGAUGUCUCUUACCGAUUUACCGCUAUCAUUUUGGGGAUACGCUCUAGAGACAGCUACAUUCACUUUAAAUAGGGCACCGUCUAAAUCCGUUGAGACGACACCGUAUGAAGUAUGGUUCGGUAAGAAACCUAAGCUGUCGUUUCUAAAAGUUUGGGGAUGCGAAGCUUAUGUCAAGAAACUUCAACCUGAAAAGCUCGAACCCAAGUCGGAAAAAUGCGUAUUCAUAGGAUACCCUAAGGAAACUGUAGGGUAUACCUUCUACUUAAGAUCCGAAGGCAAGAUCUUUGUUGCCAAGAACGGAUGCUUUCUGGAAAAAGAGUUUCUCUCGAAAGAAGUAAGUGGGAGGAAAGUAGAACUCGAUGAAGUACUACCUCUUGAGCGGGAUAGUGACGCAGCACAGGAAACCGUUCCUGUGAUGCCCACACCAACUGAAGAGGAAAACCAUGAUAAUGAUCAAGGUACUUCGGAUCAAGUUACUGCUGAACUUCGUAGGUCCACAAGGACACGUUCCGCACCAGAGUGGUACGGCAACCCUGUCCUGGAAAUCAUGUUGUUAGACAACAAUGAACCUUCGAACUAUGAAGAAGCAAUGACGGGCCCGGAUUCCAACAAAUGGCUUGAAGCCAUGAAAUCCGAGAUAGAAUCCAUGUAUGAAAACAAAGUAUGGACUUUGACAGACUUGCCCGAUGAUCGGCGAGCGAUAGAAAACAAAUGGAUCUUUAAGAAGAAGACGGACGCUGAUGGUAAUGUUACCAUCUAUAAAGCUCGACUUGUCGCUAAGGGUUAUCGACAGGUUCAAGGGAUUGACUACGACGAGACAUUCUCUCCCGUAGCGAAGCUAAAGUCCGUCCGAAUCAUGUUAGCAAUUGCCGCAUACUAUGAUUAUGAGAUAUGGCAGAUGGACGUCAAAACAGCAUUCCUUAACGGGCAUCUUAAGGAAGAACUGUAUAUGAUGCAGCCGGAAGGUUUUGUCGAUCCUCUGAACGCUAACAAAGUAUGCAAGCUCCAGCGAUCCAUUUAUGGACUGGUGCAAGCAUCUCGGAGUUGGAACAUUCGCUUUGAUGAGAUGAUCAAAGCGUUUGGGUUUAUGCAGACUUAUGGAGAAGCCUGCGUUUACAAGAAAGUGAGUGGGAGCUCUGUAGCAUUUCUCAUAUUAUAUGUAGAUGACAUACUCCUGAUGGGAAAUAAUAUAGAAUUUCUGGACAGCAUUAAGGCCUACUUGAAUAAGUGUUUUUCAAUGAAGGACCUUGGAGAAGCCGCUUAUAUAUUAGGCAUCAAGAUCUAUAGAGAUAGAUCGAGACGCCUCAUAGGUCUUUCACAAAGCACAUACCUUGAUAAGAUUUUGAAGAGAUUCAGAAUGGAUCAGUCCAAGAAGGGGUUCUUGCCUAUAUUACAAGGUAUGAGACUGAGCUCAGCUCAGUCACCGACCACGGCAAAAGAUAAAGAAGGGAUGAGUGUCAUCCCCUAUGCUUCAGCCAUAGGAUCUAUUAUGUAUGCCAUGCUGUGUACCAGACCCGAUGUAAACCUUGCCGUAAGUUUGGUAGCAAGAUACCAAAGUAAUCCCGGCAAGGAACACUGGACAGCGGUCAAGAAUAUCCUGAAGUACCUGAAAAGGACAAAGGACAUGUUUCUCGUUUAUGGAGGAGACGAAGAGCUCGUCGUAAAGGGUUACGUCGAUGCUAGCUUCGACUCAGAUCUGGAUGACUCUAAGUCACAAACCGGAUACGUGUAUAUGUUGAAUGGUGGAGCAGUAAGCUGGUGCAGCUGCAAGCAGAGCGUCGUGGCGGGAUCUACGUGUGAAGCGGAGUACAUGGCAGCCUCGGAGGCAGCACAUGAAGCGAUUUGGGUGAAGGAGUUCAUCACCGACCUAGGAGUCAUACCCAAUGCGUCGGGGCCGAUCAAACUCUUCUGUGACAACACUGGAGCCAUUGCCCUCGCAAAGGAGCCCAGGUUUCACAAGAAGACCAGGCACAUCAAGCGUCGUUUCAACUCCAUCCGUGAAAAUGUUCAAGAUGGAGACAUAGAGAUUUGCAAAGUGCACACGGAUCUAAAUGUCGCAGAUCCGCUGACUAAACCUCUCUCGCGUGCAAAACAUGAUCAACACCAGAACUCUAUGGGUGUUCGAUUCAUCACAAUGUAACUAGAUUGGUGACUCUAGUGCAAGUGGGAGACUGUUGGAAAUAUGCCCUAGAGGCAAUAAUAAAAGUAUUAUUAUAUUCCAUUGUUCAUGAUAAUUGUCUUUUAUUCAUGCUAUAACUGUGUUAUCCGGAAAUCGUAAUACACGUGUGAAUACUUAGACCACACUAUGUCCCUGGUAAGCCUCUAGUUGACCAGCUCGUUGUGAUCAACAGAUAGUCAUGGUUUCCUGACUAUGGACAUUGGAUGUCGUUGAUAACGGGAUCACAUCAUUAGGAGAAUGAUGUGAUGGACAAGACCCAAUCCUAAGCAUAGCAUAAAAGAUCGUGUAGUUCGUUUUGCUAGAGCUUUGCAAGUGUCAAGUAUCUCUUCCUUCGACCAUGAGAUCGUGUAACUCCCGGAUACCGUAAGAGUGCCUUGGGUGUAUCAAACGUCACAACGUAACUGGGUGACUAUAAAGGUGCAUUACAGGUAUCUCCGAAAGUAGAUGUUGGGUUGACACGGAUCGAGACUGGGAUUUGUCACUCCGUAUGACGGAGAGGUAUCUCUGGGCCCACUCGGUAAUGCAUCAUCAUAUUGAGCUCAAUGUGACCAAGGUGUUGGACACGGGAUCAUGCAUUACGGUACGAGUAAAGUGACUUGCCGGUAACGAGACUGAACAAGGUAUUGGGAUACCGACGAUCGAGUCUCGGGCAAGUAACGUACCGAUUGACAAAGGGAAUUGCAUACAGGGUUUGAUUGAAUCCUUGACAUAGUGGUUCAUCCGAUGACAACAUCGAGGAGCAUGUGGGAGCCAUCAUGGGUAUCCAGAUCCCGCUGAUGGUUAUUGACUGAGAGCGUCUCGGUCAUGUCUACAUGUCUCCCGAACCCGUAGGGUCUACACACUUAAGGUUCGGUGACGCUAGGGUUAUGAAGAUAUGUAUAUGCAGAAACCCGAAUGUUGUUCGGAGUCCCGGAUGAGAUCCCGGACGUCACGAGGAGUUCCGGAAUGGUCCGGAGGUAAAGAAUUAUAUAUAGGAAGUGCUAUUUCGGGCAUCGGGACAAGUUUCGGGGUUAUCGGUAUUGUACCGGGACCACCGGAAGGGUCCCGGGGGUCCACCGGGUGGGGCCACCUGUCCCGGGGGGGCCACAUGGGCUGUAGGGGGUGCGCCUUGGCCAUCAUGGGCCAAGGGCACCAGCCCCUAUAGGCCCAUGCGCCUAGGGUUUCCCCCUAGGAGGAGUCCUAGUGGUGGAAGGCACCCCUAGGUGCCUUGGGGGGGAGGGAAACCUCCCCUAGGCCGCCGCCCCCCCCUAGUAGAUCUCAUCUACUAGGGCCGGCGCCCCCCUGGCACCCCUAUAUAUAGUGGGGGAGAGGAGGGACUUCAUACACCAGCCCCUGGCGCCUCCACCUCCCCCCGUUACGUCUCUCCCUCGUAGUCUCGGCGAAGCCCUGCUGCUGUGACGCCCUGCAUCCACCACCACGCCGUCGUGCUGCUGGAUCUUCAUCAACCUCUCCUUCCCCCUUGCUGGAUCAAGAAGGAGGAGACGUCUCCCGUCCCGUACGUGUGUUGAACGUGGAGGUGCCGUCCGUUCGGCGCUGGUCAUCGGUGAUUUGGAUCACGUCGAGUAUGACUACAUCAUCACCUUGCAAGCUUCCGCACACGAUCUACAAGUGGUAUGUAGAUGCAAACUCUCUCCCUAGACUCGUUGCUUAGAUGAACUCAUAGAUGGAUCUUGGUGAAACCGUAGGAAAAAUUUUAAUUUUCUGCAACGUUCCCCAACAUGUACUAUAUCAUAUCAGUGGGUUUGAAUACUUUGGUUCUGCAGUGGGUUUUCAGUGUUUUUUACUGUGUUGUCCUAUCGUAUCCCUAGCUCUUACAUCAUACUCCCUCCAUCUGGAUUACAUGUCGCAGAAAUGGAUAAAAUUGGAUGUAUCUAGAACUGAAAUACGCCUAGACUCAUCCAUUUAUUUCCGGAUGGAGGGAAUACAUGUCAAUAUGUCAUGUCUUUCUAUUCUUCAGUACCUAUUCCAUCUCUGUUGUAGCAUGUUUUAUAGUUGAAGCACCAUUCUUCUAUAUAAGGCAUGCAAGGGGAAGACGGCUAUGUUAGAAUCUGAAGGGUUACAAACUAAGUCUUUGCAAAAGAUCCAAACGCCAGGAGAUAAUAAACCAACUCCAUUUUUCAUAGAUACUGCUCCAGCACAGAGAAACCCAACUCCCACUGAUAAUAAGCAGAUUCCAGUGGCCAAAGAACUAGUCUGCUCCAGUCCAGCAAAAGAAUGUCAACUCCAUUCUAAGAAGCGUGUGCGUAUCCUCGCAUCAUGAAAUUUUAUAGCAUUCUGAUCAUAUUUUCUACAUGUUUCUUACUCAUCUCUCUUUUAGAAAAUAAGGUUAAAUGAUAUAAGACUUCCUCCAUUGGGAUUAUAUUCAAGGAAAAUAUCUUGCGAGAAUUCUCUGUGCUCCAAUGCUGAUGUAAGUACUUGUUGUAUAUCACUAUAUUUUUACAUCAGCAUGUAUUUUGUUAAUCGGCGUGAAUCCUACCUUUAUCUGAUCUAAAUUUAGUUGUAGCAAAAUGUUAAAGGCUCCAAUGUUGAUUUUUGUAAAGAAAACUGCCUGGUAGUUUUGCAUACUGAGCUGCAUGAGUGUACUAUCUCAUAUCAUGCACAUUAUUGAAUUGCAGUGCUGCUCUGGUUGCCCAUUCAUUCAUUGUGUCAAUGUUGCUUUCGUAUUACCUUACCUGGCUGAUGAUAGUUGUGCCAUAUUGUGUUAAUUUGGUGUAGGCUAGUUGCCCAAACGUUCGUUGUGUCAAUGUUGCUUUCCUAUUAUCUGACUUGGCCAAUGAUAGCAAUGCUAGUGUGUUAAUAUGGUGCAGGUUGCUGAAGAUAAGACAAACUCUGAAAACAGCAAGGCAACCCCAUUGUUUCUUUCCAAUAAAUCUAGGCCAGGUAAUAUGACAAUAACUCAUGAUUAAUCUAUUUGGUUCCCCUCCUAAUUUAUGUUAUGACGCAGUGGUCGAGACAAUCUCCACUAUCAAUAAUAUGAGCCUGCCAAAAUCGCCAUCUGAAUCUGUUCAGUAUCCUCUGUCUUGAAUGCAAUGGAAAAAAUGUAUCUUUGUGAACCAAUUAAUGGCUGCACAAUGAUGGAAAUGGUGGAGGAAUCAGAGGUGCAGAUUCGUGUGCAACAACAACUGAUCAAUGUUUCCAGAGACAGUGUAGCAAAGCAACAAGAACUUGCCCACAUGCUUAUGGGUGUCAUCCGUGCUGAGGUUGCAGAUUGUGACGUUGUAGAUCGUUAGGUUCUGUUCAUUUAUUUGCACUGGCAUCAAUCUUUGAUUGCCAAGUGGAUGUAAUUUCCUGUAAUAUAUGCUGGAUGUGCAACGUUUUUCCCUUUAUGCCGUACCUUUGCUUGAUCGGUUUUGGUCCUGUGCAUAAUUGCUCAUCGUAAUGGGCUCAAAUUAUCUAAUUUGGCCUAAAGACAUGUACAAACUUUAGUGGACCCAUUAAGUUAAUGGGCCAUUACCAGGCCGAAAGUUAAUGGUCGGCCCUCUUACCUCCCGGGUCAUUAAUAGGCUGACAGCGAAGCGGGCAACAGGUGGGCCCAUUUGAUUUCACGGGCCGUUAACAGGCCGUUACUAAGUUCAGGCUACAUAUGGCCCAACUAUACUAUGGGCCUUGAACAGGCCGAAAGAGACAUCGGGCUUGUACUAGACCAUGAACCCUAUGCUAAGAGGCCGAAAGUCAGGUCGUAUUGUAAAUGGCCCAACUGUGUUGUGGGCCUUUAGCAGGACGAAAGAGAAAUCGGGCUGGUAUUGGACCAUGAAGGGCAUGGAUCGUUAAAAGGACAAAACUCAGGUCCGGCUACAAAUGGCCCAACUCAUUUAUGGGCCGUUAACAGGCUGAAAGGCACACAGGGCCUAGAAUUGGCCCAACACUUAAAUGGGUCGCUAAAAAGCCAAAACUCAGGCCCUACUACAAAUGGCCCAAUUGAUUUAUGGGUCGUUAAUAGGCUGAAAGCCACACCGGGCCGGAAAUUGGCCCAACACUUAAAUGGGUCACUAAAAGGCCAAAACUCAGGUCUAACUACAAAUGGCCCAACUAAUUUAUGGGCCGUCAAAAGGCUGAAAGACACACCGGGCUGGAAAUUAGCCCAACAUUUAAAUGGGUCGCUAAAAGGCCGAAAGAUGUACAUCCUGAAAAUUGGCACAUCCCUUGAAUGGGCCGUUAAUAGGCCGAAAUCUCAUUGGGCCAAUAUUGAGCCCAAAUAUAUAGCGGGCUCUUAACGGGCUCGAACUAACGAUGGGCUGCAAUAGUGUCAAAUCUUUGAUGGGCCGGCCGAAUUGGCACAUCUCGUAUGGGUCGUGGGCUUAAAUGGACCUGACACAAGUAGGCCUUAUAUGGGCCGGCCUGCUAAUUUUUACUGGGCCGGCCUUUUUCACCGGAAUGGGCCACUGUUGGGUCGUGCCACGUGUCGACCUACCAUAGGCGCCUCAUGUCCAAUGAGUGGAUGACAUCUGUCCCAACGGUGAGGCAACACGUGUUUCCUCCGGCCAAUGAUGAUUUUACACGUGGAAAAUCCCCAUUGGUCCGGGCUGUUAACGGGUUAUCGGAUCCAAAACCGGACCCGAUAGCUUAACAGCGUUCCGUUACGUUGGAUGCCAUGUGUCAGUCACCCUUGACGAAAGCACUUCUGUGACGCGCGAUUUAUCAUCAUGGAAGUGCACACUUCCGUGAUAAUAAUUUUGGUAAUGUCAUGGAACACUUCUACGACAGAACAGGUAUGACUAUCUUGAUUCUAUCAUAAAAUUGUCAUGGAUGUACAUGCAUGACAAAAAACGUGACCUACUGUGACAAACAUGUAUCAUCAUGGAAGUGUAUUUUUUUGUAGUGGAUGCCCAUCAAUAGAUAUCAAUGUGAAUGUGUAGGGAUUGCCAUGCAACAAAUGCACUAGAGCUAAAAGUGUAUGAAAGCUCAAAAAGAAACUAAGUGGGUGUGCAUCCAACUCGCUUGCUCACAAAGACCUAGGGCAAUUUGAGGAAACCCAUCAUUGGAAUAUACAAGCCAAGUUCUAUAAUGAAAAAUUCCCACUGUUAUAUGAAAGUGACAACAUAAGAGACUCUCUAUCAUGAAGAUCAUGGUGCUACUUUGGAGCACAAGUGUGGUAAAAGGAUAGUAACAUUGCCCCUUCUCUCUUUUUCUCUCAUUUUUUUAUUUGGGCAUUCUCUCUCUUUUUUAUGGCCUCUUUUUUUAUUUUAUUUUUUAUUUUUAUUUUUCUCCCGGAGUCUCAUCCCAACUUGUGGGGGAAUCAUAGUCUCCAUCAUCCUUUCCUCACAUGGGACAAUGCUCUAAUAAUGAAGAUCAUCACAUUUUUAUUUACUUACAACUCAAGAAUUACAACUCAAUGCUUAGAACAAAAUAUGACUCUAUGUGAAUGCCUCCGGCAGUGUAUCGGGAUGUGCAAUGAAUCAAGAGUGACAUGUAUGAAAGAAUUAUGAAAGGUGGCUUUGCCACAAAUACGAUGUCAACUACAUGAUCAUGCAAAGCAAUAUGACAAUGAUGAAGCGUGUCAUAAUAAACGGAACGGUGGAAAGUUGUAUGGCAAUAUAUCUCGGAAUGACUUUGGAAAUGCCAUAAUAGGUAGGUAUGGUGGCUGUUUUGAGGAAGGUAAUGGUGGGUGUAUGGUACCGGCGAAAGUUGCGCGGUACUAGAGAGGCUAGCAGUGGUGGAAGGGUGAGAGUGCGUAUAAUCCAUGGACUCAACAUUAGUCAUAAAGAACUCAAAUACUUAUUGCAAAAAUCUAUUAGUAAUCGAAACAAAGUACUAUACACAUGCUCCUAGGGGAAGGGUUGGUGGAGUUAACCAUCACGUGAUCCCGACCUCCACACAAAGGAUGACAAUAAAAAAAUAAUCAUGCUCCGACUUCAUCACAUAAUGGUUCAACAUACGUGCAUGCUACGGGAAUCACAAAGUUUAACACAAGUAUCUCUCAAAUUCACAACUACUCCACUAGCAUGACUCUGAUAUCAUCAUCUUCAUAUCUCAAAACAAUCAUAAGGAAUCAAACUUCUCAUAGUAUUCAAUGCACUUUAUAUGAAAGUUUUUAUUAUAUCCCUCUUGGAUGCCUAUCAUAUUAGGACUAUAUUCAUAACCAAAGCGAAUUACCAUGUUGUUUAAGACUCUCAAAAUAAUAUAAGUGAAGCAUGAGAGUUCGUCAAUUUCUUCAAAAUAAAACCACCGCUGUGCUCUAAAAAGAUAUAAGUGAAGCACUAGAGCAAAUGACAAACUACUCCAAAAGAUAUAAGUGAAGAUCAACGAGUAGUCGGAUAAUUAUGUAACUAUGUAAAGACUCUCUAACAUUUAAGAAUUUCAGAUCUUGGGAUAUUAUUAAAACAGAAAGCAAAACAAAAUAAAAGAAAAUGACGCUCCAAGCAAAACACAUAUCAUGUGGUGAAUAAAAAUAUAGCCCCAAGUAAAGUUACCGAUGAACGAAGAUGAAAGAGGGGAUGCCUUUCGGGGCAUCCCCAAGCUUAGGCUCUUGGUUGUCCUUGAGUAUUACCUUGGGGUGCCUUGGGCAUCCCCAAGCUUAGGAUCUUGCCACUCCUUAUUCCAUAGUCCAUCGAAUCUUUACCCAAAACUUGAAAACUUCACAACACAAAACUCAACAAAAAACUCGUAAUCUCCGUUAGUAUAAGAAAAAUAAAAUCACCACUUUUGGUACUGUUGUCAACUCAUUCUAAAUUCAUAUUGGUGUUAUAUAUACUGUAUUCCAACUUCUCCAUGGUUCCUUAUUGGUGUUAUAUCUACCGAUACACUCAUAGAUUCAUCAAAAUAAGCAAACAACACAUGGAAAACAGAAUCUGUAAAAAAACAGAACAGUCUGUAGUAAUCUGUAACUCUAGAAUACUUCUGUAACUCCAAAAAUUCUGAAGAAAUUAGUUCCACCUGAGAAAUUUGUGCACCAAUCCAUAGCAAAAAUAAUCAGUUCAAAAGCACGUUUCAAUAAAAUUCUGGAAAUUAUUUACUGAGCAUAAAAGUUUCUGAUUUUCAGCAGGAUCAACACAACUAUCACCACAAGCUAUCCUAAAGGCUUUACUUGGCACUUUAUUGAAACAAAAGCUAUAGAACAUGAUUAUUACAGUAGCUUAAUCAUGUGAACACACAAUAACAGUAGGGAUAAAUAUUGGGUUGUCUCCCAACAAGCGCUUUUCUUUAAUGCCUUUUUACCUAGGCAUGAUGAUUUCAAUGAUGCUCACAUAAAAGAUCAGAACUGAAACAUAAUGGGAGGAUCAUGAAGCAUAUGACUAACACAUUUAAGUCUAACCCACUUCCUACGCCUAGGGAUUUUGUGAGCAAACAACUUAUGGGAACAAGAAUCAACUAGCAUAGGGAAGCAAAACAAGCAUAGCUUCAAGAUUUUCAACACAUAGAGAGUAAACUUUAUAUUAUUGCAAUUCCUACAAGCAUAUGUUCCUCCCUCAUAGUAAUUUCCAGUAGCAUCAUGAACGAAUUCAACAAUAUAACUAUCACAUAAAGCACUCUUUUCAUGAUGCAUAAGCAUAUAAUUUUUAUUACUCUCCACAUAAGCAAAUUUCUUCUCAUGAAUAGUAGUGGGAGCAAACUCAACAAAAUAACUAUCAUGUGAGGCAUAAUCUAAUUGAAAAUUAAAAUCAAGAUGACGAGUUUCAUGGUUAUAAUUAUUCUUUAUAGCAUACAUCACAAUAAUCAUCAUAGAUAGCAACUUUGUUCUCAUAAUCAAUUGGAACCUCUUCCGAAAUAGUGGAUUCAUCACUAAAUAAAGUCAUGACCUCUCCAAAUCCACUUUCAUCAAUAUAAUCAUAAUAAAUAGGAGGCAUUCUAUCAUCAUAAAAAAUUUGCUCAUCAAAACUUGGGGGACAAAAAAUAUCAUAUUCAUCAAACAUAGCAUCCCCAAGCUUGUGCCUUUGCAUAUCAUUAGCAUCAUGGAUAUUCAAGGAAUUCAUACUAACAACAUUGCUAUCAUACUCAUCAUUCAAAGAUUUUAUGCUAAACAUUUUAUAGACUUCUUCUUCUAGCACUUGAACACAAUUUUCCUUUCCAUCAUUUUCACGAAAGACAUUAAAAAGAUGAAGCAUAUGAGGCACCCUCAAUUCCAUUUUUUUUGUAGUUUUCUUUUAUAUACUAAACUAGUGAUAAAACAAGAAACUAAAAGACUCAACUGCAAGAUCUAAAGAUAUACCUUCAAGCACUAACCUCCCCCGCAAUGGUGCUAGAAAAGAGCUUGAUGUCUACUACGCAACCUUCUUCUUGUAGACGUUGUUGGGCCUCCAAGUGCAGAGGUUUGUAGGACAGUAGAAAAUUUCCCUCAAGUGGAUGAACUAAGGUUUAUCAAUCCGUGGGAGGCGUAGGAUGAAGAUGGUAUCUCUCAAACAACCCUGCAACAAAAUAACAAAGAGUCUCUUGUGUCCCCAACACACCUAAUACAAUGAUAAAUUGUAUAUGUGCACUAGUUCAGCGAAGAGAUGGUGAUACAAGUGCAAUAUGGAUGGUAGAUAUAGGUUUUUGUAAUCUGAAAUUAUAAAAACAGAAAGGUAACUAGUAAUAAAAGUGAGCGAAAACGGUAUUGCAAUACUUCGAAACAAGGCAUAGGGUUCAUACUUUCACUAGCGCAAGUUCUCUCAACAAGGAUAACAUAAUUAUAACAAUCCCUCAACAUGCAACAAAGAGUCACUCCAAAGUCACUAAUAGCAGAGAACAAACGAAGAGAUUAUUGUAGGGUACGAAACCACCUCAAAGUUAUUCUUUCCGAUCAAUCCAUUGGGCUAUUCCUAUAAGUGUCACAAACAGCCCUAGAGUUCAUAGUAAAAUAACACCUUAAGACAACAUCAAACAAAAACCUAAUGUCACCUAGAUACUCCAAUGUCACCACAAGUAUCCGCGGGUAUGAUUAUACGAUAUGCAUCACACAAUCUCAGAUUAAUCUAUUCAAACCAACACAAAGAACUUCAAAGAGUGCCCCAAAGUUUCUAUCGGAGAGUCAAGACGAAAACGUGUGCCAACCCCUAUGCAUAAGUUCACAAGGUCACUGAACCCGCAAGUUGAUCACCAAAACAUACAUCAAGUGAAUCAAUAUAAUACCCCAUUGUCACCACGGGUAUCCCACGCAAGACAUACAUCAAGUGUUCUCAAAUCCUUAAAGACUCAAUCCGAUAAGAUAACUUCAAAGGGAAAACUCAAUCCAUUACAAGAGAGUAGAGGGGGAGAAACAUCAUAAGAUCCAGCUAUAAUAGCAAAGCUCACGGUACAUAAAGAUCAUGCCAUACCAAGAACACGAGAGAGAGAGAGAGAGAGAGAGAGAGAGAGAGAGAAAGAGAUCUAACACAUGGAUGAACUACUCCCUCCUCGUCAUGGAGAGCGCCGAGAUGAUGAAGAUGGCCACCGGUGAUGGAUCCCCCUCAGGCAGGGUGCCGGAACAGGGCCCCGAUUGGUUUUUGGUGGCUACAGAGGUUGCGGCGGCGGAACUCCCGAUCUAGGUUUUGUUUUGGAAGUUUGGGGAUUUAUAGGAGGGGUUGGCCAGUUUCACGUCAAGGGGGCCCACAGGGAGUCCACGAGGCAGGGGGCGCGCCCUCCACCCUCGUGGGGCUCUCGGGACUCUCAUGCAGUAUCUUUUUGUUCCAGUAUUUUUUAUAUUUUCCAAAAAUAUUCUUCGUGGAUUUUCAGCGCGUUCCGAGAACUUUUAUUUCUGCACAAAAACAACACCACGGUAGUUCUGCUGAAAACAGCGUUAGUCCGGGUUAGUUCUAACCAAAUCAUACCAAAAUCAUGUAAAAAUAUUAAAAACAUGGCAUGAAUACAUAAAAAAUUAUAGAUACAUUGGAAACGUAUCAUUACUACUAGAAGAAGAAUCUUUCUUGCCCUUCUUGCUAGAUUUUACUUGUGGCAUGUAAGUAGAAAAGAGUAAAUGCUUGGCCAUGUAAGAAGAACUUUUCUUCCAAAGAUCAUCAUUGAUGGCUUUUAAGAACCCAUGUUCUUGCUCAAGAUUGAGCUUCUCGAAGCGUAGCUUCUCAUGAGUUUUUAAAAGUUCUCUAUGAUCUUCUAAAGUAGUUUCAUGAGAUAACUUAAGAGUGUUUAGUUCUUUAGUUAGACGCUCAAUCUCCUUCUCAUCAUUGUCAUCUAUUUCAUCUUGAUUAGCAUGAUUAAUAGCAUUUUCAUCAUAGUAUUCAUCACUAGAGUUGUCAACAAGUAAAUCAACAUCACCUAGCAAAUCAUCUUCUCACUAUUGAAAUCAACAUACUCGGGGUGUGAUACCUUGGGGCCUUUAGCCACGAAGCAUCUUCCUAUUCCUUCAUUUGGUGAAUCAAAGAUGUCAUAGGAGUUGGUUGACACAAGUGCUAGACCGGCAACACCUUCAACUUGAGUAUAUUCGGAGUCAGAGUGAUAACUUCUCUCGGAGUGGUGGUCGGAGUCGGAGCCGGAUACCCAUUCACCAACAUGAGCUUGAUGUCUUCAUUUUGUGUAGCUCCUUGAUGACUUGUCCUUCUUUUCUGAAUCCUUGCUUCUUCGGGAGGUUCUUCGUUCAUAGCGAUCAUCUCUACUCCUUCUCUCCCUUGGAGGUGAUUCUUCCCAUUUGCUUCUCCUUUUAGGUGAGUCCUCUCUUCUUUUGUAUGGAGCCAUACACUCAUUGGAGUAGUGUCCAGGUCUUCCAUAAUUGUAGCAAUUUUUCUCACGACUAGAAGAUCUUUUGUCAUUGUAGGACCUUGACUUGGAACUUCUUUCCUUGCUUCUACUCUUGUAGAAUUUGUUAAAGUUCUUCACCAUUAAGCUCAAUUCUUCAUUGAAGUCUUGUUUCUCAUUUGAUGAUGUAGGAGCAUCAGAUGAGGCUUUGUAAGCACCACUAGACUUGUUGUGAAGCUCUUCUUUAUCCUUGAGUGACAUCUCAUGAGCAACAAUUCUUCCAAUGACUUUGGUUGGCUUGAGAUCUUUGUAGUUUGGCAUAAUUUGGAUCAAAGUGCACACGGUAUCAUAUAUUCCAUCUAAGGCUCUCAAUAUCUUCUUGAUGAUGAAUUUAUCGAUCAUUUCUUCACUUCCUAAGUCGGCAAUCUCAUUUGUGAUGAGAGCAAGCCUAGAGUAGCGACACAUUCACCAUCCUUCAUUUUGAACUUUUCAAGUUGACUUUGAAGCACAUCCAACUUGGAUUCCUUGAUGGAGUCGGUACCUUCAUGCAUAUCAAUCAAAGUAUCCCAAAUUUCCUUUGCAUUCUCAAGACGACUGAUUUUGUUGAAUUCUUUGGGGCACAAUCCGUUGAAGAGGAAAUCGCAAGCUUGAGCAUUGCAUUGCAACAUCUUCAAUUCUUCUGUGGUAGCUUCACGAUUCGGUUCUCUCUCAUCAAAGAAUUCACCUUGCAAACCAAUACACACAAUAGCCCAAACAGCGGGGUUAUGUCCAAGAAUAUGCAUUUUCAUCUUAUGUUUCCAACUAGCAAAAUUAGUACCAUCAAAGUAAGGACCUCUACGGUGGCAAUUUCCCUCGCUAGACGCCAUACUCUCCUAGGUUGUGAAACCAAGGCUAUGAUCACCAAAGCUAUGGAAAUCAAGACAAAUGGAGACCAAAGCUAUGAUACCACUNNNNNNNNNNNNNNNNNNNNNNNNNNNNNNNNNNNNNNNNNNNNNNNNNNNNNNNNNNNNNNNNNNNNNNNNNNNNNNNNNNNNNNNNNNNNNNNNNNNNNNNNNNNNNNNNNNNNNNNNNNNNNNNNNNNNNNNNNNNNNNNNNNNNNNNNNNNNNNNNNNNNNNNNNNNNNNNNNNNNNNNNNNNNNNNNNNNNNNNNNNNNNNNNNNNNNGAAAGUAUGUCUAGAGGGGGGGGGGGGGUGAUUAGACUACUUGACUAAUUAAAACCUAGCAUUUUCCCAAUUUUAAUUCUUGGCAGAUUUUAGCAACUUAGCACUAGUCAAGCAUUCACAAUACAAUUCAAGCAAGCAUGCAAAGAGUAUAUGAGCAGCGGAAAGUAAAGCAUGCAGCUUGCAAGAAAGUAAAUGGGACGAGUUUGGAGGGAGCAAACGCAAUGUUGACACGGAGAUUUUUGGCGUGGUUCCGAUAGGUGGUGCUAUCAUACAUCCACGUUGAUGGAGACUUCAACCCACGAAGGGUAACGGCUGCGCGAGUCCACGGAGGGCUCCGCUCAUGAAGGGUCCACGAAGAAGCAACCUUGUCUAUCCCACCAUGGCCAUCGCCUAGAAGGACUUGCCUCACUUGGGUAGAUCUUCACGAAGUAGGCAAUCUCCUUGCCCUUACAAACUCCUUGGUUCAACUCCACAAUCUCGACGGAGGCUCCCAAGUGACACCUAACCAACCUAGGAGACACCACCCUCCAAAAGGUAAUAGAUGGUGUGUUGAUGAUGAACUCCUUGCUCUUGUGCUUCAAAUGAUAGUCUCCCCAACACUCAACUCUCUCUCACAGAUUUGGCUAUGGUGGAAAGAAGAUUUGAGUGGAAAGCAACUUGGGGAAGGCUAGAGAUCAAGAUUCUUGUGGUUGGAAUGGAAUGUCUUGGUCUCAACACAUGAGUAGGUGGUUCUCUGUCAAAAAAUGAAUGGUGGAAGUGUAGGCACGUUCUGAUAGCUCUAUCUAUGAAUGAAGAAUGGGUGGAGGGGUAUAUAUAGCCUCCACACAAAAUCUAACUGUUACACUCAUAUUCCCAAACUCGGUGAGCCCGAAUGGUAAAACUCAGUUAGACCGAUUAAGGUCAAAAUAUGAACGUUAGAGUUUUUGGUGGGACCGAUAUGAUCAACUCAGUGGGACCGAUGCGCUAGGGUUAGGGCAUAACUUAAUCUCGGUGAGACCGAUCACAUGAACUCACUGGGACCGAUUUCAGUAAUACGCACAUAGAGAGUUGGUCAGGAAAACUCGAUGGGACCGAUUCACUCAUUUCGGAAAGGAAACAGGAAGUUUGCAUUGCGAACUCGGUGGGACCGAUCACUCAUUUCGAUGAGACCGAAACAUUAUGAAGGGAAACAGGGAGUUUGCAAUCCCAUCUUGGUGAGACCGAGAUCCCUAUCGGUGAAACCGAACUGGUUAGGGUCUAUGGCAGUGGCUAUGUCAAAUAAACUCGAUGGCGCCGAAUAGAUCAAAUCGGUGGGACUGAGUUUGACUUUUAGGUUUAGGACAUAUGUGGAAAUGAGAUAGUGGUUGAGGGUUUUGGAGCAUAUCGCUAAGCAUUUUGAGCAAGCAAGCCAUUAAGCAACACCUCAUCCCCUUUUAAUAGUAUUAGCUUUCCUAUGGACUCAAUGUGAUCUUGGAUCACUAAAAAGAAAAUGUAGAGUCUUGAUCUUGUUGCCAAUAUGUGUCCUUAGCAUUUUAAGGGGUCCACAUCUCUAGUCUAUGCCAUGCCAAUCAUUGAACUUUCUGAAAUGAUCAUCUUGAAAGAGCAUUAGUUCAAUGAGCUAUAUGUUGUUAAGAAGUACCAAAACCACCUAGGGAUUAGUUGCACUUUCAAGGGUCCACAUCGAAAGGUACGGGUGGAAUCAAAUCACAUACACGAAAUACAUAUUUCACCCACAUUUACCUCCAUACCCUUCGAGAAGAGAAACCAUAAUUCAACCUAGUAGAAAUCACCCAACGGGUGUACUGCUACCUCCAUGGAGUGGGGCAACCGGGGCACAACCAGGCGAUUGUACUGGUUGCAAAGUACGUUUGUGCCCCUCCUUGUCCUGGAGCGGUACUACCGGCUCAACUACCGCCCAUUUCUUUCUUCGACUCUAGCACUGGUACUUUGGGCGGUGCCAGAGCGGUUGUUCUAGAUAUUUAAAAAAUAAUCGGCACCACCGUUGGCUCUAGCAGUUAUAUCGCUUACGUUUAGGCCUGAGCAACGCCUUCUGUAUGAUGCGUUUGUACCACUUGGACCCUACAGAUUGUUUUACGAGACUUGGACGGUUGUACUGUUCCGCGGAGUGGUUGUAUCACCUUGUGCAUUUUGUGCACAUGAUGGUUGCAUUUUGGUGGAGCUAUUUAAGGAGGAGGUUCUUCCUCCUCCCACCUAUAUACCUCUUGUUUCUCUCUCUCUCUCUCUCUCUCCUCCAUUAGUGCCCUAAGCUCUAUCUUGCCGAUCUCCUUCUCUAGCCAACCAAACAUGUGGGUUUGCUAGGGAUUGAGGGAAGAGACCUAGAUCUACACCUCCACCCAAGAAAUUUGGUCCCCCCAUCAUUCUCUUGUGGAUCAUGUUGCUCUUGGGUGUUUGGGCACCCUAGAUGGAAGAUGCCAUCUUGGAGCCACAUUUCAUUCUGGUGAAGCUUCAUGGUGGUGUUUGGAGACUAUAAUUAAGUUGUGGCGAUUUCCCCGACCUUGUUUGUAAAGGUUUCGGUUGCCGCCUUCAAGGGCACCGCUAGUGUAUUCACGACACCUUGCAUCGUGCAAGGGUGUGAGGAGAAUAGGGUGAACCAUUGUGGCUAUUGGGGAGCAUCAUGCCUCCACACCCUUCAAACGAAGACGUACCCCCAAAGGAGGGAACUUUAGAAACACAUCAUCGCCUCCACUUGCGUUUACUUAUAUCCUUUACUUUGUGCAGGCUUAUUAUCUUGUUUACUUUUAGCUUGCACUUGUGGUUUGUUGUGCUUGUCAUAUAGGUUGUCCACCUAGUUUCAUAUCUAGACAACCUAUUUUAUUAUUAAGCCUAAAAUUUGCAAACAAAGUUAAAAUUGUUUGUCGCCUAUUCUAACCCUUCUAGUCGACCAUACUGAUCCUUUCAGUGUCCCAUCUUCUCAGUCAUUGUGGAGACGGUUCCCGCCUAUACCUCAACAGGGUUGGGUGGCAACAAAUGUGGUUCCAUGCUAGGCCCUUAGCGGUGGCGCUAGGUCAGGCAUUGACACGGGGUUUGGGUUGGGAGCUCAGAGUAUAAGAGCAAUGUCAGAGCAGAGGACGGUGCUCGUAGGACAUGAUGGUGGCUAGGUGGGAGAGGCAGUGGAGUAGGGAAGCGGCGUAUGCCAGUCACCCGAUGGCUUGAGGGAAGAAUGCGGCGGGGGAUGGGGAUGCAACAUGUGUGGGGCACCCAGUGAUGGUGUUACGGCGAGAAUGAAGCAUUACGAGAUUAGGGGUUGAUGGGUGGGAUUAGUGGCUCGGUGGUGUGCUCAACACGUUGGUGCUCAACAUUGACAUGUUUUGGACCUUUAGAUUUUGUGAUUAGACGUGUCAGAUUAUGAGUUAGAUAUGCUCUUUCAUGCUUUUAUAGAGGUAGUAGAUAAAGUGAAUAUUAACAACGAUAACCUAAACAACUAUGUAUUAUGAAUUUUAUUCCUAGGCCCACUAACGUGCUAGGCACCAGGGCCGGGCCGGCAAAAUCCGGGGCCCUGCGCAAAACUAAAAAUUGGGGCCCCAUUUCACAAAAAAAAGAACUAAAGAGCACUUAUAAGAUUUAUUAAUUAAAUUUUCUUCUUGUGCUUUUCUCUUGCGCUUAUUGGCACCAGACUGCUGGUUUCCCCAUGAUGAUUCAAAUAUGUAUUAUUGAAACACAAGAUAAAGAAGAUGAAUCAAAUAAAAUUGAAUUUAUACAUAACAUAUAUCAAUUGGAGAUCAUGUGUCAAUGUUUGGCAAUUAGACGAACCGUCUAACUCAUCUAAUAUUCAGUCCUGUGAUUUUUAACCGAGGAGGUAAGAACCAAUCUCUAAUGAAGUAACGAUCAACUAUCAACAAUUAAUUAGGAAAUUAGGAAUUAGAAGUAGGAACUGAAGUUAAUCGACAAGAAGGACUCGCUAUGCACCUGAAGGCUAGAGUCUGUCACCUAUCAUUCCGACGAGAUGACGUCAUAGAGUCUGAAGAAGGCAACGGCGGCACCACGGCAGCGGCCUAUCCCUUAGUUGGCUUGAAUCUGAACUCCAAUCGAUCAAAGGACCAAGGACCGAGCCAGAGCCACAGAGGGAUGAGGCGUCUACGUCAAGGGCUCGAGGCGUCGAGGGCUCCAGGCGACAAGCGGACGAGACAUUUUUUUUGGGUGGCCAGACGUUGUUUUCUUUUUUUGCAUGGUAAUACGUGUCUCAUUUAUAUAGAAUAAAGAUUAAGUUACAAGGCACGUAAGUACCGACCAUACAUGACUAAAAAGAUAGGAAAAUCCUAUGCAAAAUACCAGCGCCUGUCUCUUUCCUUCGACACCACCGAAGCGGCCACCAAAGGGUAAAAAGACAUAUCACCUCUUCGCCCAAACUCGAUGCGGCUCCAUCGCUGAUCAACAGCUUUACGGACCUCCAAAGUAGUUUGCCAAAAGCAAAACCAUAGCCGUUGAAAGAAUCAGACCGGGGCAACAUGUCCCCGGACACGCCGUCGAACUUCAGAACUGACACCCUCGCAUGCCGAUGACGUCGGAGAAGGAAACCAGAACUGCCCGCCUUCGACCAUAGACCCAACACAAGAUACUCCAUCUUCCAGCUGUCACUUGCGUAGACAACCGCCUGCGCGUACUCUUGAACGACAAAACCUCCCUACUCCACCAUGACGUCGGAGACAACGCCACAGCAACGGGGACAGAGCAGAAGGAGAGACACACCUGAUGGAGUUGCCGCCGCCGCCUCGUCAACACCAUCCAUGAACCCUAACACUGUCGAUCUGAGGGAUCGACAUAGACACGAUGCCAUCAACUCCGAGACGCCGCCCUGGAGGACACCGCUGGUGUGGGAGUGGGGUUGAGGCAGAUUUAUUCGUCCGGGCGCCGCUCCCACCACCCCAAUGACGCACCACGACCUACAAAUCCAAAACCUAACUACAGAGCGGAGGAACGGGGUCCCCCCUUCCUCCUGCCACCGGAGCAGCAGUCGAAGGGAGAGGGGGCCAGCGCACCGGCCGGUGGAGAUCAGAGGAAAAAAGUGCCUCGCCCUAGUCGCCUGGUGGCGGCGGCGGCUAGGGUAGGACCAGACGUUGUUUUCCUGUAGCAUAGCCAGGAUCCCGUUCCCUGUACCGAUCUAGUUUUUCUUAAGAUAACACAGCGAUGGCCUCGUUGCCUGAACCCUCGUAGCGAUGGAGGAGGAGAAGUCCAGUAGCGCUCGAUGGGCCUAGUCGCUCGGCCCAGUAGCGCUAACUAUUACUAUACCUGUAUACAAAAUAUGGGCCCUCUCAGAAUUUUGGGCCCUGUGCGGGCCGCCCCUUUUGCACCACUGUGGGCCCAGCCCUGCUAGGCACCCGCUCUAAGCAUUUAUAUAUUACUUGGAAGGCCUUAUGCACGAUAUGUGGAUUCUGUCAUAAGAUCAGAUGACUACAUGAAAAUUAAACUAAUUAAUGUUUCUAUAUGUGUACUCUCUGUUCGAGCAGCAUAUGUCAUUACAUAAUGGCAUUUUUGUUGCGAAAAACAUAAUGGAAAAUUUGAAGUCAAUUCUAAUACAUCAACAUGCUGUUAACGUUGCAUAAAAGACUAAAUCCAUGAUAAAACGAGCACAGUGCUAACUAUAGGGGUAAAUGAUACUGACAAACAAAAGACAAGCCGUACAACCUACAUGGUUCAUAUCUAGGCACAUAUAUUUGUUUGGAGACUAUGUUGAAGACUUGUGUCUAAAAUAGUGACAAGAUGCUCUCAUCCAUUGAGGGAGACACUCUCAAACAUUCAUUAUUUGUACGCUACUUCCCAUCACGAUAUCAUCGACAUGUUCCAUUGACAAAUACUCCCUCCGUUCCAAAACAGAUGACUCAACUUUGUAUUAACUUUAGUACAAAGUUGAGUCAUCUAUUUUAAAACGGAUGGAGUAUAUCUGUAUGCAUAAGAAUACGAUAUAAACACAAGACAUGAAGACCAACGUAAAACGCAACCACGUAUAAGACGGAAGAUGCUUCAUAGGAUAUAUACAUGGCACAUGGGAUAGCAAUCUUACCAAUCUCCGAUUCAACUCUUCCUAGUCGAUUGAUCUCGAUCUUCCACAUAUCCAAAUUAACGUAAAAUGUGCAAGAGAAGUACUUUCUCUGUUCGGAAUUACUUGUCGUGAAACUAGAUGUAUCCAGACAUAUUUUGAGUUCAGAUACACCCAUUUCUAUCCACUUCGAAGUAUUCUUAAACAAUUCCCAAGACUUUUGGUGAAAAACUACAAUCCAUGCAAAAAAAAGAAAGAAAGAGGAAAACUAGAAUUAUCACUUCUUGAACGGAGAAUAUCGCCCGCAAAAAAAGGGAAAAUCCAAUCUAAAACGGAGCCGCCCCCCAUUCACCGGCCCCGUACGCCUGAAGCCCUACAGGCUCCCGCCGCCCCCCUCCCCCUCCCGCCCCCAAACCCUAACCCCUCCGCCACCAUCGCCGCCACCGCGGCUCCCCUCUCUUCCUCCUCGCCGCGACACCCCGUCCCCGCCCUCUCCACCACGUCCACAAUCUUCCUCCAUUAGAUUUCGAGGUAAGAGCUCGCCUCCACCCAGAUCCAGGGACUGGUUAAACCCCGCUGACCUCCACGACGCGGCCGGCAAUCCAAUCCAAUCUGAAAUCCGAGGCUGUUUCGCAGGGGUCUCGGGAGGAUGGCGUUCCUGCAGAAGGUCGGGAAUGCCCUCAAGCGGUCCGCGGGCUCCGGCUCGGCGAUGCUCCAGGCGGUCCGGUCCAUGUCCUCCUCCAAGGUCUUCGUCGGAGGUUCGCCGGAGUUCUCCCUUCCCUGCCGCCCAUCUAUUUCCUUUGCGCCUCGAGAUUAAUAUUUUUCUGGUUCGAGGGAAGCCCUUACCUUAGAUUGUGCCGCCCUGAUUUGCUCUGUCCUUGCAGGCAUCUCGUACGGCACCGAUGACCAGAGCCUCGCGGAUGCGUUUUCCAACUACGGCCAAGUCGUGGAAUGUAUGUUCCUGUCCUGUUCCCACCGUUUCUCAUGGAUGGUAUAAGAUGUGAUCCUGUGUAUGUGGACUAAUUCUGUCAUAUUUGUUCAGCCAAGGUGAUCAUGGACCGUGAAUCUGGGAGGUCAAGGGGGUUUGGUUUCGUGACCUACACUUCGGCGGAGGAGGCUGGAGCUGCCAUCACCGGAAUGGAUGGGAAGGUGAGUCGCGCAUUUUUCGUCAAACUGUUUGCACUUGGCAGAUGCUGAUGAACCUCAUACUUUGUUUUUUUUCUUCUUGUUCCGGUUCUAAGCAUUGUUUAGUACCGGGCUGUGAAUCAUCUAACUGUUGCUUGUAUGAUGCGUAGGGUGUAUUUUUUUUGGAGGCUAAAGUCUUGUGAUUUAAUAGAUUAUCUUGACAACAAUAAAAAUUAGGUGAUCAGAUUAAAUUCCUUUGAGUUAGAGAUUAUUUUAGUAGGCACCAGUUCAGGUCAUUGAAAUAUCCAAGGCUAAACUAAACAUCAGAGCAUUUCUACCUUGUUGGGUAAUUGAGUCCUGUCACUGGUCAGACAAGAGUGAAUGCCUUAUCCUUGUCUUUCAUAUGCUUGCUGAUAUGUGGCUGUAACAGUUUAAUUGCUGGAAACCUAAGUGGUAACACAAAGACUUGUUUUUUGUUACGGUUGAACACAAAGCAAAAGUAUGAGUUACUUGUUUUUUGUGUGGAUACCAUUUAUUAACCUACAUACAUAGGUAGUGCUGUUCUAGAAUAUGAUCUGCGUUGCCAUACUAAAUAUUGAAAGGUUGUGCGAUUCAGCACAAGCUAAUCCAGGGUUCAUCUGAAUUAAGUGGCAUGCAUUGUGGUGUUGGAUGUUUUAUUGUUUCAUAUAUUGCAGGAUGUUGAAGAUGCAUUUGCUUCUAUCAUAAGUUCUUUUUUUGUGUUUGACGUUAUAAUUGAGGUGUCAUAAAAAAUUGCUAUUCAGUUAUACCGAUAAGCAUACUUGGCACCAUAUAUCUUUUACAGCUUGUUGUGUGUAAGAUAAACAAGAUAACUAAUUGUGGUGCGUCAACUCAAAAGCAAGCUAUCAUUUUUAGCUUAUUUCAUGGGAAAUUGGAAUUUCACAAUUCCACUACCAAGCUGAUGAUUAUUAAUUGUCUAGUUGGCAGGAGGUGAACAACUUGUGUUCACCAGUGAGGGAGGUCAAGUAGGAGAAGAGGGAAAUGACGUGGGAGGUAGCGGCAGGGUGGUGAUGAGAAGAAUCAGUGUGGGGUGGUCGUGAUAGCUGGGGGUGGUGGUUAUUGGGAGUAUCAUAUUUAAUGACCUAGUUGAUGCGCCAGUGGCCCAACCCUUACCAUUUCCAACUCCGGUCACCCAGUUAUCACUUCUAGCCGUGUGACUUGCCUUGACGGAGUGGCUUGAUGACCACCAGUACAUUAGAUAUUUUAGCUAUGUCGCUGGAGAUUGAGAAUAUUUAUUUGCUGUCUCUUUUAAUAAUGACUGCCGAUGAUGAUUGGUUCUAUGCGAAAAGGUUAUAUUCAUCUGAUAAACGUAUUUCUGCACAAUUGCAUUAUAACACUGGAAAAAUUGGUUUGCUGCUGAAUAACAUUAUGACACUACCGUCACAUUUGCUGUCUAUAACAGACUGCUAUUCCCAUAAGACUGGUUAUUAAUGUUUAUGUUGCUGAAAGUUUUGGUCCAACCGCCUAGCCAGUUGGUGUAGAAUUAAGGAUGAAAUAAACAUAAGAUUCUUUGCAAGAGAUUUCUUUUGUCAAUGUAUCUUUUCUAUGAAAAGAAUUCUUGUGAAAAUUUCCUAUGGAUUAUAAUCUUACAAAUCAAGCACACAGGAUAAGUUUUGAAUGAUUACAAUCCUCCAAAAUUCAUAUGAAACUCCUGAAUCAAAGGGGCUCUAAGCAUUUUUGUACUUAUCAGUGCUUUUGGAGAUAAUGUUUACACUUGACAUGCGAAUCUGCUAUGGUAAAAACUUCAGGCAAUGUGUACCCACGAAAUAAAGCUGACACCUUUUAUAUUUUUAUAAAUGGCACAGUAAAAUACUGUGCUAUUUGAGAAAUUAAACAUGGUUGAUUACUACAGAACCUAAUUACUGUAUAUAUGUCCUGUUAUUUGCAUUCACCGGAAUUACGUUCCCACAUAAGCAAAUAUAUUUUGAUAUGUCGAUGCACUAGAGAUCAAAAUAUGAUUCAGAAAUAUGCUUCGUAGUAUCUCAGCUUGUGCAGUGGUCCUUUCAGUUAAAGGGAGGCAAAGCCACAAAUACACUAGGACUAGCACAAUUUGCUGGCCACUGUAACCGCGUCUAGUAUUUUUUCCUGUCACCUCCAACUGUUAUGUAGCUUACUAGCUGUUGAUUUGGUGAUGGGAUAAAACCAUCGACUUGCUUAAGAGAUGACAAUGUUUCUCUAACAUUUUGCUCUUAUUUACUGUAGCCAACUUGUAUAGAUUUGUCAUUUUUCAAUGACCUGACUCGUUCUUCAUCCAAAAGAAUGGAUGAGUAAUAGAAAUAUUGUGAGUGGCAUUACCAGGUAGUUGGUCUGCAUCUUUUUAUAACAGAAUAGUAGUUUUGUUCCUGUCAUCUUCUGGUCCUAUAUGCUGUAGCAUGAAGUUAAUUUAAGAUUGGACUUCGAACAUCAGUGUAAUUUUUGGUCUCAUAGAGGUUGUGUGUUAACUUUUCAGCUCACUUGUGCAAUGGAUGGAUUGCUGUUCUGUUUGAUUUAUUAUUCUUUUCUCAUGCACAUUGUGGAGUGUUUUUCUUUUUUGUUUUAUUUUUCUUCCUGGAGGCUGUCAUGUGAUCCUGUUGUGGUUAAUUUGUGCUAUCAGCUGAAUAGUCUUUUUUAAAUGUACUCCACUCGUUAUGCAGCUCGUUUCUUUUUGUGCCUGGAGGCAUCUGUGAUAUCUAUUUGAUUGUUUUUGUUAGUAUCUUGAUCAGUCUUCUAUAAUCCUUGCCUGCUUGUUCAUUUUCUAACAUGUUCCCUUUUGCUGUACCAGGAUCUGCAGGGUCGGAUAGUGAGGGUGAGCUAUGCUCAUGACCGUGGUAGUCGUCCAAGUUUUGGCGGUGGUGGCGGCUAUGGCGGCGGUGGUGGCGGCUAUGGCGGCGGUGACGGUGGUUACGGUGGAGCUGGUGGUGCCUAUGGUGGUGGUGGAGGCUACAGCGGAGGUGGUGGAUAUGGGGGUGGAGGCAGAGGUGGUGGAUACAAUAGUGGUGGCAAUUAUAAUUCAGGAUACAACAGUGGGGGAAACUAUGGUGCCCCUCAAGGCGAGCAAGGUGGCUAUGGGGGUGAUGCUGGUUUCACAGGGGUUGGUGGUGGUGGAUACGAUGCUGCUCCUGCCAACAACUAUGGCGGCGAUAGCCUGAAUCAAGGGGGUGGAGCACCUCCUGCAUUUGGAGGUGGAAACUAUGGCGUAGGCAACGACAGCUACGCGGACGAUGCCCCUGUUGAUCUGCCCCCUGGUAAGCUCAAUGACCUGCUGAAGGAUCUCAAAUUUGAUGUUGGUGGCAAGGAGGAUGGUGCUGGGGAGGACGCCGGCUUGGUUGACGCGGACAUCAAGAGAAGCGAGGGACAGGAUGACUUUCUUGACGACGACUUCAGCAAGGAUGAAGAUGACUACGCCAACAAGAGAAGCUGAAUGUUGGUCCAGCAAGAAGCAUCAGCCGAAUAAUUUCCCGUCGAUAUGUUCUCCAUGACUGCCUUGUUUUUGGUAUUGUCCUGUGAUGAAGAUAAUAAUGUAGUGCUUGCAAACAAGUUAUGUUCGGUCUCUUAGCUACGUUCUGUACGUCUGCUUUGUGUACUGUGUUCUGGAUUCAUAGUAUGGUGCGAACUUGAACCUGAACUCUGCAUGUAUUGCACGCUGUGAAAUUGCACUUUCAGUAGCUGCUUGCUAUAUCAGUUGCUAUAGUUCAUAGUUCAGUAAUUCAGGUGCACUUGCGUAGGACAAGCAGGUUGGAAUGCAAACCCCUUCUG
rnacentral:lncRNA from 1 species